CUUCCAAAGAAAUGUGUAAAAGAACUUCAAUAUUCUUGUAACGACAACCGUCGAUGAGCAUACAAAUCAGAGAAAAAUUCAUCUAACAUUGGUAUAAAUUCGUCUAACAUUGGUAUCAUUUGAGAUAAAUUCUAAUUUUAAAAAUCAAACUAUCAAGAUCAAACUAUAAUAAAAUUAUAAAAUAAAAAAUAUACCUUUAAAUUUAAAAUCCAUAUUUCUAAUAAACGUUAUCAAGUUUUUAUAAUUGUCCUGAUAAGAACGGUUAUGUGGAAAGCUAUUAACUUCUCUAAAUAAUUCACAAUUGACAUUGCCGAUCCAUGUUUUCUUUAUAUCACGGAAAUAGUCAGAUAUAUACCUAACUCUGUAAAAAUCAUAGUCAGAUAUAUACCUAGGCGUCGCAUAGGCGGUCAUGCGCUCCAGGUCGGAUCCGCCUAACCCAAUAACCCAUUUAAAUGACUUAAGUCAUUUAAAUAAAAGGGUGAGGGUUUAAAAAACCUUAACUCCUCUCUUAUUUCUUCUUUCUUCCUCUUUUCUUCCCUUCCCUCAUACAUUUGAACCCCAAACCCUAGAUUUUCAGAUCAUCUCCCCCAUCUAUUUUCUCCGGCCAUCUUCUAGGGAGACUUCGGCCACCACAAGGGAACACUCCGGCGACCUCCACACGUGCUCCGACGAAGUCUAGGCAUGCUCCGGCGACCCUCCGGCCAUCGUCGACCUAGGUAUUUUUUGUCCCAAAUUUUUUUCCUAUGUGCCCCCUAUCUGUCCAAACCUAUAUCUCACUCCGGACAGUCAUAAAUCGCACUCCGGCACUCUUAAAGAACACUCCGGCGAUCACUUAAAAAAACACUCCGGACUUUUCUUGACCAUAUCAGGUGGGAAAGAGUUGGUGAGAUGCGGAGUCACAAGAUUCGCAACGUCUUUUCUCACAUUACAGAGUUUGAAAGAACAGAGGGAAAAUUUGAAGAAGAUUGAUUGGCUACCAUGGGCUAAUGUGACUUGUGGAAGUGAAGUGCAAAAAUUAGUCUGAACCAACUCUUUCUGGUUGAGCCUAUACGAGUGUUUGGCCGUUUCUGAACCUCUAGUGAGGUUGCUGAGAUUAGUUGACCAAGAUGACAAACCAUGCAUGGGCAGAAUUCUGAAUGACUUGAAGAUGGCAAGGAAGCACACUAGAGAUAUGUUGAAAGACAAGAAUCUGCCAUUGCUAACCCAAAUUGACAAGAUCUUCGAUAAGAGUAGGUUUGCUGAAAUGCUUCUCCCAACGCUUAACCCGGAUUUCGGUCGAUUCGACAAGAUUCGACCCGGAUCCGCCUAACCCGCUCCAGCGCAUGACCGCCUAGGCGUCGCAUGAAAAACUAUGGUCAUGACCACCGCAUGAACACAUGAAAAAGCUUGGUAAAAAUCAAGGUUUAAAAACCGACGGUUAACCGGCUGACCGGUAAAAAAUUAAAAACCGGUGGCCGGUUAAUUGGGACGGGUAAAUGGGUUGAUGGGUCGGGUCUUACCCGAACCCAACCCGAAUACCCAACCCGGUUUCAAUAAAAUAAUAUUUAUUUAAUCUGUUUUAAUUUGUUUUUUUUAAAGACUUCAUUUAAUAAAGCCCAUUACGUUUUAUUAAUAAGUUAUUUUAAGGCCUCAUUUAAAGGCCUUAUUUUAAUAAGUUUAAAUUUUAUAAGCCUCUCCUUAUAAGUUAUUAGACCUCAUUUGAAUUACUAUUUUGAAUUACUAUAUUGUUUAUGAUAUUUUUAUUUAUAUAAACAUGGAUAUAAACAUGGAAUAGAUAUAUAAGUAUAUAACAGAAUUUCUGUUUUAAAAAAAAAUUACGAAAAUACCCCUAUCGGUUAACCAGUGGUCUAACCGGUAAGCCAGAACCGAUUACCGGUUAACCGGUUUUUAAACCUUGGUAAAAAUAAAGAUAAAAGAAUUGAUAUUAGUUUAAAAGUUCAACAAAUAUAUUAUAUUCUAUUAUUAAUUUAAAAUACCUAUAUUCAUGACCAUAUAUCUUAAAAUGUUCAUUCAACCUUUUCAAAGUCUUCACAUUUUUGUAUGUGACCACAAUGUUCAAAACAUUGAAUAUUCUGCAAUUAAAAAUAAAUAUUAUAUGAAUAUUUCAUUUUUAAUAUAUAAUAUAAACUAAAAAUAAAUGACUUACGAGUUAAAUUUAUUUAAGCUUCCAAAGAAAUGUGUAAAAGAGCUUCCAUAUUCUUGUAAUGACAACCGUCGAUGAGCACACAAAUCAGAGAAAAAAUCAUCUAAUAUUGGUAUAAAAUCAUCUGUAUCAUUUGAGAUAAAUUCUAAUUUAAAAAAUCAAACUAUCAAAAUCAAACUAUAAUGAAACUAUAAAAUAAAAAAUAUACCUUUAAAUUUUAAAUUCAUUGUUGACGAUAACGUUGUAAUAUAAAAAGUCCCUUUUUGACGAAAAUAGAAUUUGUUGUAAGCUUAAUCGGGAACAUUUCAUUACUUUCAGAGUGAGAUAAUCCAUUGAAAAUAUUUCUAUAUAAAAAAGAUCAAUUAAAAAAAAUUAACGUUAUAUAAAAUUAUGUAAUAAAAUACCUUAAUAUUUCACUCAAUGCGUUAUAAUAUGCAUCUUUUACUUCUUUCAGCUCUUCUAUAUAUCUGUAUAGGGUUAUUGUUUUUGGAUAUAUAACAUAAGUAAUACAUUUAUGCACGAAUGUAUCAAAUACUAAUAGGCAGUUUUUCAUAUAAAAAAAUUGUUCAGAAGUAGAUAUUUUUAUACCAUCGAUAUUUUUUAAUAUAUAUCCCUGAAAUACUCCGACUUCCGCAUUUUCAGUUAUAAGAAGAGUUGAAUAAACAUAAGCUGAAGCUGUUUGACAUAAAUACAUGGCGUUAACCUAAAUAUAGAUUUAAAUAUGGAAAUAAUAAUAAAUAUAUAAAAUAACUAAAAAAAUCUAUUUUUUUAUUUUUUUUGAGAAAUUAAAACUUUCAUUACUGAAAAGAGGUUGAGUAUGGCCCAAGAUUACAGAAUAAUAUAGGGCAAUGCAAGUACAGUAAAUGUAAAAAUAUUGUCCAUCUCUUAUGCAGCUAUGAUCCUGACUAACUGGCCAAGGAUUGAAGCUUCAAGAGGUUGGACUCCCAUGAGCGUAUAGCUUGUAUUUCAAUCUGUGAAAGAUUGUGCUUUUUAUAAGAUGUAGAAUCAUAUGUAAUGCUCGCAUCCUUUAUAAUUUCUCUGCUGACAAUUUCUGGAGGCCUUAGGGUGUGUUGUUUUAAUCUUCUAUUCCUUUCACACCAUAUGUGCCAGGAAAGAGAUGCUAGCAUAGUCCAGUGUACCCCCAAACAACUGGACUUGUGGGUGAAUUUUUGUAUUGUUUUCAUAAUAUCCCAUAUCCUAAUAUCUAUUGUGGGAGGUGGGGAAUUUUACCCAUUAAGUGUCCAAACAACAUUGUUAAACCAGCUAGUGGUCUCUAGUGUAAUGACAGUUAAAGUAUAGGUGUUGUAAUGUUUCUUCCUCAUUUCCACAUAGUGGGCAGGACGUAUUUAUGUUGAGUCCCCAGCUUUGCAGUCUAGUUAAAGUGUUCAAACUCUUGACCUUAAUUCUCCACAAGAGCAUAAAAAAUUUUGGAGGCUUUUUGGCCCAGAUCCCUAGAUUUAUCUCUUGUAAGAUGCCUUUGGGCCUUAAUGUUUCUGAGUGCAUGGAGGAGGCAAUUUGUGUGACCCUAUAGUUACUCAAGCAGUUUAUACAUUUCCUUAUUGUUUCCUUAUUAGCUAGUAUAGUUUUCCACAUGUGUGAGUCCAGAGUAGGCCUACACUCUAUCUCCCCAAUGCUUCUUCCUUUGAUGUACCUAAUUUUUACCCAAUCUGCUAGUAUGGAGUUAUUAGGACUCCACAUCCUCUCUGUUUUUUUAACCAAAGCUGCAGCAUUAGUUGCAAAGAAAUCCCUGGCCCCUAUUCCGCCUUCGCUCUUUGGGAGUGCCAUUUUUGCCCAACUACUCCCUCUUCUCCCGUCCCAAAUGAAAUUGUAAGCUAGGCUCUGGAUCUUUUUAAUGACUGUGCAUGGCAAUGUGGUUCGGUUUACCCAGUAUUGAAACUUACCUUGUAGGACCCAAUUUACUAAUUGGGUUCUGCCUACGUAAGACAGACAUCUCCCUUUCCAUCUGGCUAACAUUUUUUCUAUUGGAUUUAUUAACUUCCAACAUGUCGCGUGAGAUUUCUUUCUUCCUGUUAUUGGGAGACCAAGAUAGUUGAUAGGGAAGGGUUUAGUUGGAAAGUUGAGAAUGUUAUGCAGAUAAUGAUCAUUCAUGCAUACUUUUGAGUAGGUUGCCGAGCUCUUCUCCUGAUUAAUCUCGAGGCCUGAGAAUUUGGAAAAAGUCUCUAGGAUUUUCUUGAUUGUUUCUAAAGACUUGGGAUUUGCUUUUGAGAAGAUCAACACAUUAUCCGCGUACAUGAGAUGCGAGAUGGAAACCACUCCAUUCACGAUAUAAGUAUCCAUCCUUUUAUCUUUGAUCUCUCUCUAUUAGUCUACUAAGAUUAUCCAUUAUCAGGUCGAAUAAGAUAAGAGACAAUGGAUCCCCCUGCCUGAUUCCUCUAAAGUUAGUGAAGGAGGGAGUGGGAGAUCCCUCCACCAGUACCGAAAAGGAGGCUGUGGAUAUACAGUUAUGUACCAAUUUGCACAACAGAGGGUUGAAUCCCAUUGUGUCAAGGGUGUGUGUGAUUGCUUGCCAUUUCACUGUAGAGGGUUGAAUCCCAUUGUGUCAAGGGUGUGUGUGAUUGCUUGCCAUUUCACUGUAUCGAAUGCACCAUCUCGUCUGCCAAGAUAAUGUUAUCUGAGAUGCUUCUUCCUGCUAUGAAAGUUGUUUGGUGAUGAGAUAUUAACUCGGAAGAGACCUUGGAGAUCCUAUCAGCCAAGAUUUUGGUGAGAAGUUUAUAAAUUAAGUUGACACAGGAGAUUGGCCUAAAAUCCGAUAAUUCGGUAGUUGUGGGUUUUUUUGGGAUAAGAGUGAUAAAUGUGUGAUUAAUUGACUUCAAUAUGGGUUUGCCGCUGAAGAACUCUCUGACACAAGCUAGGAUUGUUUGUUUUAGUUCCGGCCAGAGAGCUUUGAAGAAACCCACUGUGAAACCAUCAGGUCCUGGGGAUUUCCCCAUUUGAAAUGCGAACAAGGUGGAUUUGACUUCCUCUUCUGUGGGUUGUUGAGUCAACCAUAUGUUCAUAUCUUGAGAUACAAUCCUAGGGAAAAUAACGGGAGAUGGUAUAUCUGGGAAGGGAGAAGUCUUGUAGAUAUCCUUAAAGUAAUCCACACUCCUUUUUUCUAAUUGGGCUCUUGAGAUGACUACCCUACCCUUUCCAUUUAUUAAUUUUAGAGUUGAGUUCUUUGCCUUAUCUUUGUAGUAAGACUAAAGAACUUAGUGUUUGAGUCUCCUAAUCUAAGCCAGCUGACCUUGCUCCUUUGUUUUUGGUUAGCCUCCUUUAUUUUGAGUUUAUUGACUAACUCCUCCUGCUUCUUUUUGACCUCUUCUUGGAUAGAAGGGACUAUUGGGCUAGUGUUUAGUUGCUUCACCAAGGAAUCAAGUUCCUCCUUAGUGGUUGUGAUCUGUUUUGCAUCACUACCUUUGGUCGCCGUCCAUUCCUUUGCGAGUAUUUUGACCUCCUUUAAUUUCUGUUGUAGGCAAUAUAGCCCAUUGCCGCAAAUUGGUUUAGCUAGUCCUCUCCUGGCUAGAUCGAGAAACUCUUGCUCCUUCAACCACGAAUCGAACAAUCUGAAAGGCUUUGGUUUCUGUGCUAUUUGCGCAAUUGAGAUAAGCAUUGCAGCAUGGUCGUUAUGCGAGCCAUUCCAAAACUCUACCCUUAUCUCUGGAAAGAGUGAAAUCUAAUCUUGAUUCGAGAAUGCUCUAUCCAGUCUAGAUUGUACAAACCUAUCCCCUGCCUAUCCCCUGCCUGCUUAUUAUUCCAUGUAAAUUCCCCCUAUUGAGGGGACCUCGAUUAACUCUGCUAGGUCGGUAGCUUCAAUGAAUUCAGAAGGCUCUCCAUGAACAUAAACCCCAGCCCCUGGUCCUCUCCUUUCCUCUGGGUUCUUAUUUCAUUGAAAUCACCCAGCACUAACCUCUGGAGUUCUCCUUUCCUCUGGAGAUGAUAUUAGGUUGGAUGUUCUUAACUGUGUUCCACAACGGUCUCCUAGCUUCCCUUGUGUUGUUUGCAUAUACUACGUAGAUAAAGAACACCAAUCCACCCUCGUUGUAUACCUUAGCAUGAAGUAUUUGCCUAUCCAACAAGAUUGGAACCACCUUCCAAUGGUCUUUUUUCCAUAAAAUCCAGAUUGAGUCUGAACAUUCUUGGUCAUGUGGGAUGUUGUUUGAAAUUACCUCUCACUCCUCCGAAAAAUUGUCUCUUACUGUUUGGAAUUGUUUGGUUUAAACUCUAGUCUCUAAUAGCGCUACUAUGUCUAAGUUCUUUUUAAGCAUCACAUUUUUUACUUCAUUCUGGAUUAGAGGGGAGUUAAGCCCUCUAACAUUCCAGGUCAUUAGCGCCAUUGUUUGGGACUAAUGACCUAGCGGUGAUGGGAUGGCUUAGUCUAGUUAAUUGCCCGGGUGGCCUUUGCCACCUCUGCAAUUGGGGAAGAUUUUUUGCUCGAUGAAGCAUUCGAAGAGUUGGCUUAGACACUAAGACAUUACAUUACAACACCUAAGGCAUUACAAUCAUGUUUAUAUUUCUUUGAUGGACAAGAUCCUAUCAAAGAAACCCCCGUUUGUUGAUAUCAAACGUCUACCAAAGUAUCCCAUCAAGAGGAAGCCUUCUUUGAGCAAUGUUGGUUCGUCAUCUUCUAGAACCAAAAAAAUCAUAUCGUACGGGAAAAUUAAAGUUGAGUCUUUUAGGUUUUGAAGAGGGUCAAACAUUUGAAGAUAGAGUGAGGUCAAGAAAGACCGAGGAAAAUCGAUAAAGGAUCGUUGCUGAACAUUAUAAAGUUCAAGAUAAAACAAAAUUGUCGUUGAUUGCGGUGCGAAGUUUUUCAUCACUAGUGGUGUUGCGUUCAAUUUAACCAGAAACAUGGAAUUGCAGGAAAUUUAUCAAUCUUUUAGACAAUCUGAAUUUUGACUACAUUAAAUGACAUUAAGGUUUUAGCAAAAGUUAUUAGACGUUACGGUCUGAGCUACAUUAUACCCUCGCCUUAUUUUCGGAUCUCUUUUGGAGAAAAAAGUUCAGAAUAUUUACAUGAGAUUAUCUAUAAUCGGACAUUUCUGUCGUGUAGUGUGACUGCCCAGAAUUCUUCUUCUUAUUGCACUAUUCUAUUUUUUCUAUUUAUCUGAAUAUAAUUCAUUAAUCAAACAAAUAAGUAUGACUAUUUACUAGUCACUAUUAAUAAAAAUAAUGAUAUUUAACGGAUUUCUUGCUCUACAUUCGAAGAUUAACUACCACACACAUCCGGUUAGACUUCCCUUGUUGGAAUCCACUAAAACCGAGCUGGGGUUAGCAUCUGCAAUUGAGGAGACACAAUUGCAGAGAGAUAUGGCACUGCUAACAACUCAAGUAGUAGUGAAUUGAGUGGAUUGGUUUUUCCGACAAAAAGAUACGAUGUUAAAUAGCCUCACCUGGGUUUUUUUCACCUUCCCACUAUUAAAGAUCAUCACAAUAGAUGAUUAUCAACAUAUAUUGGACAAACAUGAAAUAUCUCUUCCCUAUCAACAGAUGAUCGUAGAUAGAGAUAAACAACUUCAUAGUUAAGGAAUGUAACAUAAUAUAACAAGAUGGAAGGAACCAAAGGUCUUCGACAGAAUGUAACUAUCUAUAAACAUAAGGGAAUGAGAAAAAAAAAAAUAGUAAUCAGUUUUACCACCAUAUAUCAUCACUAUCAUUCAUAUCUUGGUGCGGACUUAGGUACGAGGACAUAUCCUUGAAGAUAAUGGGAAUGAGAAACUCGAACGACAAUUAGAUUAACAAAAAAGAAGACAUUUUUUUCACUAUUUUAGAGAAUAUCUAUGAAAAUGUCCAUUAAAAUUUCAAAAUAAAUGUGGAAAAAUGAAAUGACAAUAAAUAAAUAAAUAAAUAAAAGUUACCUUUUUAAUUUUAAUGUUUCCGUAAAAUAUCAACAAAUGAUGGUUGAACAAAAUUUGAUCUGUACAUGACAGAAGGAAGUUUAUCAAGAAAAAAUUAAAAAAGAAACACUGAAACACCAAAUCCUAAAUGAAUAAAAUAGGAAAAUCUCCAUCAAAUCUCUUUCUUUAAGUAAAUAUAUAUCUAUUUCUUGAAUAUAUAAAUUGAUAUUAUUAUAACUAUUUAGAUCUCUUCUCUCCUGAAAAUCCAGAGGUAAUUCCAGAUCUACGUCUAACCCCAACUCCCAAACUCUAACAUUUGAAAAAGGCAUCGAUUAGAAAAAUAAUUAAAAGAGGGGAAGAUCAGUGUCGGUGGAAAAUGCAGCAGCAGUAAUAAAAUUAAAUACAGAGACACGAUAUGGGAAAGAUGAAUAUCGGUAAUAAAAUUAAGAACAGAUCUGAUUUGACCUUUGAAUUUAUGGCAUCGGUGGUGUAUCGACGGAUUUGAGAUCUACAAAACCCUCCUCCUCUGCUUGAGUUGUGCAUUUUCCUAGUCUAGAUGGAGAAGUUGUGAAGAGUGAAAAGUGGGUUUUAUCAUAUAUUAGGGUUUUGAGACGUACAGGUUGGAUGAUAAUAAUAAACUUUUGGUGUUGGGACGGACGGGUUUUAUUAUAAGAUAAAUCCACUGGGCUUGGGCAUUCGUGAGUUUGGAAAUUUGAACUAUUGUGGGAUUUUUUUUUUCUUAUGAUAAUAAACAUUGAAUAUGGGCUUAUUCUUUUCUUUUAACUAAAAGGUUUAAAAAAAAUAAAAUCAAAUCUAAAUCCGUCUUCUCCUCUAUACUCCCUUCUACCUCCUCCUUUCCACUUCUCAUCGACUGUGAAGCCUCCAAGUUAUCCUCCGUAUCCCACUCCGACCGCCUCCUUCUCAAUCUACUUCUUACCAGCUCGAAACAUUUAUUCCGUCUGUAGUAGUUUUAUCAGUAUCGUUUGGUUAUUAUCCUCUAAUCUCCUGCGAAAAUACCAGUUUGUCUUAAUUCUCCAAUACCGAUCAAGUUUCUUCUCAGAUUUUGGUAAGUUUAUUUCUCCGAUACCAAUAUCGCUUUGUAAGUCUAUUCGCAGGUAAUCUCGGAUUUUCUUCAUUUUUUUGUUUAAAAUUUGUACUCUUCCUCCGAUAUUUAUACUCCCUUUAUUUUUCCACAGUCUCCAUUUCUCUGGUUCUUAAUCCUUCGUCUUGGUCAGUAGAGCGUAUCUAAUCUGUAUUUUCAUUUAGGUCAAUGGAUUUAAUUCCAGUAUAUCAUCAUCCUCGGGCUGAACAUUGUAUUCCAGAUGCCGAUCAAAGCAAAUCGAUGGAUUUGAUUCUGUCACCUCCCUUGCAUGCCGAUUUCAUGUUACUCAAUUCGAUAAAACUUUUCGGACAUAAAAUUGGACAUGUUAUGGGGUCCUCAUCGGUUUGUUCGGGAAGUACUUCGGCUAUUGAGCAAUCUUCAUUAGCGACUUCCUCUCCUUCCUACUAGAUUGCGAAAACACAGACAGAUUUCGAGAUCGACGACUGAUUUUGUUUUUGAAGUUAUCGACUUGUCCGGUAUGGAUUUAUUUAUUUUUUAAUUUUUUUUGUUACAAACUAUCCAUCUCAGUUUUAUUUAAUUUUUUUAUGCACCUAUUGUUUUUAUGAAAUUUGUAUUUUUGAAUCCCUAAUUAUUUGUAUUCUGAUGUAUGAAAUCAAUAAUUAUUUUUGAACAUUUUAUACGAGUUUUAGUGAUUCUGCAAAGUUAAACAUAUUUUUAUAAUUUUAUCUUACGACAAAGAAUUAAGAGAUAGAAUUUGAUGUCGUUUGAAAAUCGGUGUUGUUAUCUCACACAAAUUUCUCAAAGGGUAUUCCCUAAUCUUUGUCUUCGUGGCGUUGGGAAUAGUAAGUAUCGUAUGGUUUCUUAUCCUUUAUUUUCUUAUUUAUUUGUUAAAUUACAAUGAAUUUUAUUUUAAAUAACAAUUUUUAUUAUUUAUGUUUAUUUUUAUUAAUCGAUUUUUAAUUCUCUAUUAUCACAGCACAUUGGUUAGUUCAAUUGCGUUGUUGUUUUUCUGGUUAUCUAUCGACACUUAACGAUGUCCUUGACAUUCUACCUCCUUCAUUUUUUCCGAAAAUUAAGUCGUUCGAUUUUGAUCAUUUUCUUCUUCAAUCAGUUGAAUUAAGUUUGAAUUCGUAUCAUCUACAUGAUAUCGUUGGUAGAUAUAUAUAUUGCUAAUUAUAAAUUUCUCAUAAAAGAUAAAAUAUUAAGGGUUACACCGAAAGACAUAGGGUAUAUUUUCGGUCUACCAUUUUCCGGUGCGAAAAUUCAGGUGGGUAGGUGUGAUUCUAUCAAUUAUUCUACUUCUUUCUGACAUAAGUACUUCAAUGUAUGUCAAACACGUCAUUAGGUAAUUUUCAAACUCCUUUUUAUUUUUUAAUUUAAAUAAUCUUUAUAUUUUAAAUUGAAAAUUGUAAUAAAUAUUAAUCUUAUUAUACAUGCGUUAUUCUUUAUAGUGCUUUUAGUAAAGGAAGCAUUUAAAUCUAUCGUCCUCUCUGUUAAUUUUGAAGAAGAAAAUUUAAAGGAUUAUUAAAGGGAAAUCAGUUACUUAAUUACACUUAGUUAGUUAGCUAAUCUAGUUAGAAGUCUGUUACACAAAGUCCUAUAUAAUUAAGGACAUGAUAUCAUUAGUAAUAAUCAUCAAGUUUACAACACAAAUCUAUUUCUCUAGUUUGUGAUAUGUUGACACUUGUUCAAAUGAACCCUCUGUCGUGGGGCUCACGGGUAGCAUCCGGGGCUCUGAGUUCACCCAAAGUUCACAAUGUGCGAACCCAGUAGGGUUACCAUUCUUUCAUAGAAGGGGAACUCAGCCAUUCUAUAUCUAUCCCUGUCCAACUCGGUGGCAGGGGGUGGAGUCUUAGCUCCAUUAGAUGGGUCACGGACGUGGCCCCCGCCAACAGUAUGAGUCUCGCCACGAUCUAGAAUAAACUCUUGUUCAUAAUUCACAAGUGAUUCAGGGUUUGGUUUCACAAUGCGAAGUGGAACAUCAAACCUUUCAGCUUGAAUCGCCGAUUCAGGAUCCGGAAUCGUCGAUUUGUAGUUAAUAAUUGUCGAUUCAGGACCAAGGUCUCGGCGAUUCCUUCUCUUGAAGGUGGUGUUCAAUUCAAUGGUGGGGACAUCCUUGGCCACCUCAGCAAUCGACGAUUUCUUCUGGGAAAUCGAAGGAUCUCACCCACCUCGGCGAGUGAUUCAGCCCCGGUGAAAUCGAAGGAUCGCUACAACCUUGAUGAGGAUCAAAGUCGCUCUGUCGCUAUGGCCAGAGUUGGACUACAAAAUUUUAUCGCUUUGGCUUUAAUGGAUCCUGGAUCAUUUUGUUGCUAUGGCCUUAAUGAUCCAUUCGACCUUUCUUGGGGGGAGGGAUACUGGCGAUACACGCCUGAUCACAUGCUCUCUUUAGGGGUGAGUACUGCUGAUACAUGAAUGUAACGCCAGUCACUCCCAUCAAUGUCCCUCAGCAAGGACUAGGGUUCUGUUUGCUUUAUACCGAACUCCCGAAAGGCUCCCACGAUUGCGGAACAAUGGUCUUCGUCAAGUAACCGAGUUGAACUAGUGAAUCACUGACUUGGGGCUGCCAAAUCGCCGAUUCCAGUGGUAAAUCGCCGAGUUGAGGCCGAGAUCACCAGCACUGGCAGGCUUCCGAUCUCGCCCCUCUGAACUCGCCGACUCAGCAACUCCAAUCGCCGAUUCACCCCCCAAUCGCCGAUCUCACGAUUGUUACUCGUCGCCAGCUCGCGUCAUUAAUGGCGUGCCAUUAAUGCCUGGCGCGAUCACCGUCGCGGAUUACGUCAGGAAGGCCCUAUAAAAGGGGUCCUCUGAACACAAUUCAAGGCAUCAGAUCCAUUCCAAUCCAGAGAAGAGCAGGGAGCAAAUCGUCGAUUAUACUGAUCUAUUAGUCAUUAUCAAUGCUUUAGAUAGAUGCCCAUCUGAAGCUGUUAAUACUAAGAUUCUGAACUUCUUUGUUGAUCUACUUUCUGGUGAUUUUUCAACAUGUCUUUAUAAUUCCAUUAGAAAAUAUUCCAUUAGAAAUGGCACACGGACGGAGUCGUAAACGAACAAACGACGGACGAUCACAAUCUGCAAGAAUAGAUCAAGACAUCGUAGAGGACCGCUUCGAUGAAGAACAUCGAAGAAAAUGGACAAAAAGAUUGAGACAACCGGAUGCACCAACUCCCACCACUAUUCUUAAGAGCGGGUGAGUAUUUUCAUUAUAAUUCAUUAUAUUUUAUUAUUUAAUUUGAUUGUUUUUUAUAGGACUUUUACAAACAAUGUAAGAAGUCAAAUAGGAAUAUUAGUAAAAGGUAAUAUAACGUCACCUUUAACUAAAUGGACUUCUUGGAAAGAAGAGGAAAAGGAAAAUAUUUUCGUCAAAUUUCUGGUAUGAUUUAUUUAUUUAUUUGUCAUUUUUUCCAUGUCAUUUUUUCCAUAUGUAAUGUUUUUGUCUUUAUGUAGUGCUAUUUCUCAUUUGAGGACAUUCAAUUGGCUCGUGAAUGUUUUGAUAAUUAUGUACAACUAAAUUAUACAUGUUGGUUGUAUAAAGCGAGACAAGAGGCAAAGAAAUUGGCAAAAGUUGACACACUAACCAGAUCUUGCGCUAGAUUUCCACCGAUAUACCUUUCUGCGGAAGUAUGGAGUGAAAUGAUAGAAAUUUGGUUAAAAGAAGAUUGGAAGAAAAGAUCCGAAAAAGCAUCAGAAAAUAGGACAAACAAUCCAGAUUACAUGCCAUACACGGGUGGAUCUUGUUCAGUUGCGGCCACUCAUGAAAGAAUGGUAAAAAAACAUUUCUUUCAUAUAUUUUACAUUUAUCAUUCUAAUUUUUUUGAGUAUAACAAUCAGAAUGAAGAAGCUGGUUAUGAAGUCGGUCACUGUGAGGUUUAUAAGAAAACACAUAGUUUGGCUAAAACAAACGACUGGGCCCAUCCAAAGGGAGGAUGCUUCAUUGUAAGAAAAUUCGUUAGAAAUGCUUUGUUUUAAGAUAUUUAAGUCAUAUUUUUUAUUUAUUAUUGAUUUUCAUUUUUAUAGGCUGACUAUAAUGAGCUUCAAAGAAAUGCUAUGGAAGCAGAAAAUUCUGAGAUCAACUCAUCAAAUGGAUCACACACACUCCCUGAUAAUUUAGAAUUAUGGGUCAAAGCUACUGACGGAAAAAAGAAAGGUCGUGUGCUUGGAACCAGAGCAAGUGAUCCAAUGCCAUUACCAAUUCCUGAUAAUAUGGCGACUUCACAGAACACGACGACGAAUUAUAUAGAAAUUCAACAACAAAAAAGUAAAGAAGACUUUGAUCGGGCAGUUCAAGAGGCCAUUAGAAAACAGAUGCCGGAUAUACUAAAGGAACUAAGGGAAGACUUACGUCGAGAGACGAUUGAGGUAAUUAACAUUUAUAUAUAAAUUAAUAUUCAUAUUUUUUUUGUAAUUUCAAUUUUUUUUUACAUUAGGGUCAGUCGAGCCAAGGACACAACACCAUAAUCACGCCUAUUAGAAGAGAUUCAAAUGUCGAAAAUAUUGGCAAGAGUCUAGGUAAAAGUCCGAGUAAAAGUGCGACGAAUAGCGUGAUAAACACCAACAGAUAGGUUCCUCUUCUUUUAUCUUUUGGUUUAGUUUUGAAUAACAUGAAUUGUAUGAAUGGUAUGUUUUAUUCUGAUGUAUGAAAUCAAUAAUUAUUUUUGAACAUUUUAUACGAGUGUUAGUGAUUCUGCAAUGUUAAACAUAUUUUUAUAAUUUUAUCUUACGACAAAGAAUUAAGAGAUAGAAUUUGAUGUCGUUUGAAAAUCGGUGCUGUUAUCUCACACAAAUUUCUCAAAAGGUAUUCCCUAAUCUUUGUCUUCGUGGCGUUGGGAAUAGUAAGUAUCGUAUGGUUUCUUAUCCUUUAUUUUCUUAUUUAUUUGUUAAAUUACAAUGAAUUUUAUUUUAAAUAACAAUUUUUAUUAUUUAUGUUUAUUUUUAUUACUCGUCCUUGUUAAUUCUCUAUUAUCACAGUACAUUGGUUAGUUCAAUUGCGUUGUUGUUUUUCUGGUUAUCUAUCGACACUUAACGAUGUCCUUGACAUUCUACCUCCUUCAUUUUUUUCGAAAAUUAAGUCGUUCGAUUUUUAUUACUCGCCAACUCAGCAACUCCAAUCGCCGAUUCACCCCCCAAUCGCCGAUCUCACGAUUGUUACUCGUUGCCAGCUCGCGUCAUUAAUGGCGUGCCAUUAAUGCCUGGCGCGAUCACCGUCGCGGAUUACGUCAGGAAGGCCCUAUAAAAGGGGUCCUCUGAACACAAUUCAAGGCAUCAGUUCCAUUCCAAUCCAGAGAAGAGCAGGGAGCAAAUCGUCGAUUAUACUGAUAUAAUCGUCGAUUCCUUCAGAAGAUUUGACGUAGAGCGCGCAUCGUGGACUCCAGAGCCUCUGACAUCACCUCGCACCACCACGAGCCCUAGUAAUAUUUCUCGUGCUUCAUCACCGUUUAUUUAAAAUAUUGAGAAUAUGAAUGCACUAUAUUCUACUUAUAUUUAGUCAAUUCAAAAGAAGCAUUAGAUUCAAAUAUAAUAUUAGGAUAGAAUUAAUGUAUGACGACCAACACAAACCAAAGCACCACGAUUUGCAAUACCUUGCCCAAAAAUAAUAAUUUUUAAUUCAAUAAAAUCUAACUAAAAUAAUUUAUAAGCUAGUAUGGAAGAUUUAAAUAAAAAUUCUCGAUUUCUCACCCAAGAGAAUACAUUGAUAUCAGUCGUUUCGUGACGACCCGUCAGUCUUCGUUCAUUUCUAGUACCAUAUUUGACAAUGUGUUCCUUGUGGCAUAAACCUAACUUCUCGAUGGUCUUCUCUAUCACAUCAUAGCCACCUUCUGAUCUCAAAGACCUUAUGUUAUAUAUACUAUAUAAUAAAGUUUAAUUAUAUACAAUAUAUAUGUAAAUUGACAAUUAAUAAAUGUUGCAAUUAAUAUGACUAAUUUAUAAAUAGAAUUGUAGAUAAUUAAUUAAUUACGAUGUAGUACUUAAUUAAUUAUGUGAUUAAAUGAUAAAAUAUGAUGACCAUAUGUGUUACUUCUAAAUGAAUGCAGAAGUAUAUAUGGAUGGGUGUGAUUAAUUUGAUAUCAUAUAUAAGAUAUGAUUAUAUAGCUAGAUAUUACUUGACAAUCUUUUUUAAUUAAUGAUAUUCAAAACUAGUUCAAGGCCUUUCUUUUAUUCAUGUAGAAACUAAUUAGGGUUAGGGUUAGAGUCAUGUAGAAACACCAUUCUAAUAUUCCUAGUCGUAUAUAUAUAUAUAUAGUGGGUUGUGGGCUCGCGCUAGGGUGCUCACACACACAAUUUUUUAGUAUUAUUUCUACUGAUAAUCGACCCCCUUCCUUGUUGCACUUGGGGAGGUAUUUAUAACCUAUAUCCUUGGGCCUACUGAGCCUAGCAGGCCUAUUUGGUCCGGGGUCCGGUGCCAACAAUAUAUAUUAAAAAGUUUGGAAAGUUUUAAUCUAAAAUAUAAUUAUUAAUGAAAGACACUUCAACUAACCGGAAUUGGUUUGGGAGCAAAAAUAAGGGUAACUCCUUCCAAUUCAGCAACCCUAGUGCCACCUCUUGAGUCUUAAGCAAACCCCUUCUCCCACUUCUGAUCUCCCCCCUUUCUCAAAAGAGAGGGGGGAGACAAGUUCUUUCCCUCUUCCCCCUUUCAUGCCUUUUUCUACCGUUCUCCCUCCCCGUUGUAUGUCGUCGUCUUAGAUUCUCACCCGCAACUCCCUAUCUCUCCAUUUCUUUUUGCCUCCUGAAGCUUAUUCGAUUCUUUCCCAUUUCUUUUAUGGUCGUCGUGAUUCCGUUGCUCCUUUUCAGGUUCAGAGGAGGGGAAGAGGGCUUCUCGCCACUUCUCCUUAUCGUCAUAUGGCCUCGCCCGCAGACUAAGAAGCUUUCUCGAUUCCGUUCUGAGUUGCUUUCAGAUUUAACCAAUUUUCUUCCCGUUUGAGGAUGGAAAAUUAGGGAUUUAAUGUAAAAGGGAAAUCAGGAAGUUAUAUCGUCGGAUGACAAAUGCAAUCUAGGAAAUGCAAUUUAGUUACGCAUACUCAUAAUAAUUUUGUUGUACUUACAUUUAAUAAUAUAAUACAUCCCAUAUCAAUCAAACUUAAUAUACACGGUAAAGACACUCCAUAGGGUAAAUUUUUGACAACGAAUAGUCCUUGAAUCACAUGAUUGACGAGCCAAAGGAUGUUGAGAUCGUCAAUACAUCCCUCUGAUGUUGGUGAUAUAGAGUUGUUGGUACCAUGGACCGCGGACCGCGGCCCAUGGACCGAACAAGGCCUGUCGGCGGCCCAGGCGAGUGGGCGGGCCCAACGCACGAGCCCACGAGGCCCGAGGUCGACGAUGGGAAGCUAUAAAUACCUCCCCUGGUCCAACAGGGGAGGGGGUUGAUAAUUCUUGGAGGAACACUUGUACUAAGUUGCGGUUGUGAGCUUACUCCGGCGAGCCCACACACCAACAGUGGUGAACCUGCAGNNNNNNNNNNNNNNNNNNNNNNNNNNNNNNNNNNNNNNNNNNNNNNNNNNNNNNNNNNNNNNNNNNNNNNNNNNNNNNNNNNNNNNNNNNNNNNNNNNNNAGUGUUGCUCUGGUUGGUGUGUGUCAAGUGGGAAUGACUUGAGGGUAGAGGUCCCCCAAGGACCCCUUUUAUAGGGUCCUGGGGGACGUUUCCCCAUUCAUUAGCGUGGGACCCACCCCAUUAAGGUAUCCUAUUAAGGAGUGCCUUAAUGACGUGGGCCCACUCAAGUAACGGCUGGGAGUCGGCGAUUCAGGUGUGGGAAUCGCCGAUCCAGAGGUUCAAUCGCCGACUCCCCAUGAGCCUAGUGACAGUCUACCAGAACUGUCCACGAGGCCUAGAGUCAGCGAUUCACCCCUGGAGUCGGCGACUUGGUAGUCCCAAUCGGCGACUCCCAGGUGCUGCCUUGAGUACUUGACGUAGACACUCCUUCCGAAUUCGUUAAACUCUCCGGGGGUCCGGCAUAAAGCGACGGAACCCUAGUCCUUGUCGAAGGGCGUUGCUGGGAGUGACUGACGUGAUCAGGCAUGUCUCACCAGUACUCCUUCCUGAAGAGAGCAUGGCAAAACACCCGUGUAGCCUCAGUCUCCCCCCCGAGCAAGGUAGUCCGCAUCAAGGCAGGAAGCGACAAGAUGGGAUUGAGUCAUUGUGCUCACAGCGACACUAAUGACUCCGCGUGGUCCAUGCACUAUCAGAUGGACUGAUUCACUAUCAGAAUCUAGUUCCAGGCCAAUGGAACUACAUGUUUAUAGUCCUACUCUAAUCAAGAGCGACUUUUGCUGUGUGGAUUCUGGCCGAAGCGACAGAAUGCGUGGAUUCACUAUUAGAAUCUGAUUCUGGCCGAAGCAACAGAAUGCGUGGAUUCGUUAUCCGAAUCGGGUUCUGGCCGAAGCGACAGAUCGCGUGGAUUCAUUAUUAGAAUCUGAUUUUGGCCGAAGCGCGAGAAUCUAGUUCACUANNNNNNNNNNNNNNNNNNNNNNNNNNNNNNNNNNNNNNNNNNNNNNNNNNNNNNNNNNNNNNNNNNNNNNNNNNNNNNNNNNNNNNNNNNNNNNNNNNNNNNNNNNNNNNNNNNNNNNNNNNNNNNNNNNNNNNNNNNNNNNNNNNNNNNNNNNNNNNNNNNNNNNNNNNNNNNNNNNNNNNNNNNNNNNNNNNNNNNNNNNNNNNNNNNNNNNNNNNNNNNNNNNNNNNNNNUUGGAAGAUAUACGGGGAAUAUUUGUAAAAUCUCCAAAUAAGGAAAUUUUUCUCACAGUGCUGUGAGUUUUUGCCCGGAGUCGGCGACUACCCUGUGGAGUCGGCGACUUGGCGUGAUUCGGGGGAUUUGGAGAUCGAUUCUUGAUCUCAAAUUUUGUAAAUUUUGGGUUUUCUGGGGUUUUUUUGCAAUUUUCCCAAGGGCUAUAAAUAGUGGAGAGGUUUUCCCCAAAACCUCACAACACUCUUUUGCCUCUCUUGAUCGCCCAAACCUCCAGACCUUUGAAUCGCCGAUUCUACAGUUUUGAAACUUCGAAUCGCCGAUUCACCCAAUGUCUACCCCCGAUUCCCCUUUGUCUCCAUUGAAGGAAAACGAAACGUCAGCUUUCGCUUUCAUAGCUGAGAUGAUUGUGGACAACCUUGAUGAGGUGUUGAACACCGUUGAAUCGCCGAUUCCCUCUCCUGACAGAGAGGUUGAGUCGGCGAUUCCGGUCGUGCCACCUCAUGGAAUGGAGUUGAGUGCCACCGUGCACGAACUACUUGGCGCCUCGCCAGUGUCGGCGACUCCCCUUGUGGAGUCGGCGACUCAGUGCAGGGCCCUUGUAGUCGUACGGGAGCCUCUUGAGCUGGGGGAAAUUCCCAUGGCCUCUGUGUCGGCGACUCCCAUUGUGGAGUUGGCGACUCACGCAGGUCCUCUUCAAGCGAAGGGGGCAGGGCUCAGCUGCCAUUGGGUCGGCGACUGCUGGCCAUGCCUCGCCGAUUCCUGUCAUUGAAUCGGCGACUCGUGUGCUGGAGUCAACGACUCCCAUGUGUAUUGAUGAUUCUUCCCGCAUCGCACCGCACCAUUGGUCGUGAGCGCGGAAGGCCGAAUCGUGUCGGGACUGAACCCGAACCAAGGUCCUUCUCUGAAGAGAAAGAGAAGGCGCACCACCGGAAAGGGCAAAGUUCAUGUGCCCGAAGAGAAUGAAGGGGUCCCUCCUCCCUUGAAUAUAAACUCCGAGGAGACCUUGACUGUGGACCGUGGUGCUCAAAAUCCACGACGUAGAGCGGGCCGGCGCUCUGAGAGAACUCCGCCACCUCCCGUGGAUCUGAACGCUAGUCGAGACCCGGACCUCGACUUGAAUACGUACGUUGGAGCUUUGAACCCCUCUGGGUUCGCUCACUGUACAUGAAAUCGCCGCGAAUGGCGUACCAAGGUUGCUUCCUAUCGGCCGUUCUGGGGACGGCGAGUAUGAACAAGUGAUGACUCAUGCAACCUUGGAUGGGUCCGAUGGAGUGAAUCCCCCCUCCAAUCUGAAUGCGAGCGACGCUCGAUCACUGCUGUCAGGGAUUCAGAUAUCUGGUCAUCUGCGAUUCUGGAUGUCGCGAUACCAGCCGAUUAAUCUGCCACCCCCGGGAUUCCAGGCUAUCCCGAGUAUCUACUUCAAGCACUUCUCCGAGCUGCCAAUUCCGGAGAUCAUCAGUGAAGUGCUCUUGAGAUUUGAAGUGUCCCUGUCGCAGCUCCCGGCGGGAUUCUCUGUGAUCCUGCGAGGUUUCAUGAACAUCUGCUGGGGGCUCAAUGUUGCUGCGACGGCGAGCUUGUUUCUGUACUUCUAUAAGCUCACCAGAGAGAAGUCUGCAUCUGGUCGCUUUGGAUUCACGCGGCGACACUUUGACAAAAAUAUCGUCGACGAGCUCCCGACGAACUUCGGAUGCAACUGGAGAAAGAAGUUUAUCUUCAUAACUUCUGAAUUUCUUCCCGGGAGUCGGGAAAUGUGGAAUGACCCUAAGUACGAGGGAUAUCGAGGCCUCGGAUCGGAUAGCGCGUACGCUUACUGCAUACUCUGUGCCGCGCGGUGUUCCCUUUGUCCUUUGCCAAAGGGAAGACUUUACAUUUGAUGAUAUUGAGGAAGCUCGUGAGCCACCCACUGAGAAAGAGCUGGAAGGUGGGCAAAAGCGAUCAAUUCUAUACCACGAUGCUGCACCUCUCUAUAUGCGCAAGAGGUUCCACGAGGGCAAGCUGAUCAGAUUGCGAAAGAAGAAGACCUCUCGCAGCGAGCCUCGUCGGACCUUUGAGCAUGGGUCGAGCUCUCGCUCUGCACCACCACCUCCCAGGGGCUAUGUGCCUUACACUUCUGCCAGAGUGACACUUCCCGACUUUAUGGCUGAUGCCGAAACUCGAAGGGAAGCGAUGGCACUCCUCUUGGGUCAUCCUGGGACUUGGUGCAGGAAUGAACUACUGAAGCAUAUGAAUGCCGCGUGUUAUAUGGCACAUGCUUGUUAUCAUGGAGACUCUAUCCAUGACGUCGAGAAAAUUCAGGAAAAAUACAACCAACUCGACGCAAAGUUCAAGGAGAGCGAGAAGGCUCUCGAUAAGCUGAAGAAUGUGAGGUCCAGGAUGGAGAACCUCCGUGACAAUAUUCUGCCGAAGAAGGACAAGACCAUUGAGUCCAAGCAGAAGGAAAUAGACGAGUAUGUCACGAAGAUCUUGGCGCUUCGCAAAGAUCUGAAAGCUGCUAGCUCUGGCCGUGCUAAAGAUAUUGAAGACCUAAAGAGCCAACUAGCUAGUGAGAAAGGGCACGUGGCCUCGCUUGAGGCUACGAUAGCUGAGUUGAAGAAGCAAGCUGCUCAGAGCCAAAGCGAAACUACUGAGCUGAAAAGCGAGCUUGCAAGUGCGGAAGAAGAGGUUCUGUCUCUGAAGGAUGACAAUACCGCACUUACUGACAGAGCAGCUGGGUUGGAUUUGGAUGUACGCUACCAAUCCGACCAGCUUCAAGAGCUCAUCUUCUUUGGGCCGACAGUGUUUCCUGCUCUACCCCCCGACUACAUCACGGACAUAAUGGCGUGGGUAGAACAACAUCCUGAGGAGCUCGAGAAGAAUAAAGAGGCUCUCGACAAGAUGAAGGACGAAGCUGCACAAGAUUAGAUCUAAGUCCUUAACAUUUUGUAAUCUUUUUUGUUAUCUUUUUUGUAAUCUGAAAAUUUUAAUGAAAUUAAUCGCUUUUGCUUUUCUAUUCAAUUGUUCAUUUACUUUAUUCUUUUGAAUUGCAACUAAGACCCGAAACUAGAUUCGCGAGUCGUAAUUUAGCCGCUCUGGACGUAAAUUAGACUAACCCUAUCGCUAGCCACUCUGGGCGUAGAUUUGGUCGUACGAAUCGUAGCUUAGUCUACGGUUAAAUUCGCGAAAAUAAACUAAACUUUACAACUAAUAGUAAGUCGCAAUAUCGAUUAACAAAUUCGAAAGAUAACAAAUAUGUCGAAAGAUAACUAUCAAUCCUAAGACUCUAGAGUUGUAGUUUUGCUCCAGCCGAGGUGACGGAGCAACUUUUUAUCCCAUACCAAAGAUGUAACAAUGAGAUGGGGUGAAAAUUUAAAAAUGAUUACUAAUCUAUUAAGGCCGUAGCGACAUGAUAGAUUUUGAUUUGUGGUGGGUACUUAAAACCUCUUGUGGUUGGGUUCACUUGUACCUAUCAACUACCUAGGACUCUGCUUUUAGACCCUAAUGCGUGGUUGAACUCUGGCCAUGAUGACAGAGCAACUUUUUGGACCCAUAUCCGGGCUGAAGUGAUCAUAAUGUGUUUAAAGAUAAUUUUGAUCUAUUAAGGCAAUAGCGACAAAAUAGAUUCAUAAAGUGGGGUGCUAGCUAGAGUCGUAGGUAGAUGAUAAAUCUAAAUUUUAUUAAAAGAUGUGAUGGGGGUGAAACCCGACCAGUACUCCAAGACGCGCAAGCAAGCGCCAAGCGGGGAACUCCGCGGGAAACCGGACCGGAACUCAAGUGUGCAGAGCUCUGCUUCGCUAGGAAUCCUUUCGCUCCAAAUGACCUGCCUCUAAUGAGUGGGGGGUGCCCUCUAUUUAUAGGGGUUCUUAUGGGGGCAAUAUGGUCAUUUGGGCAGUAACCGCCUAACUGCCCAACUAAUCAGAUUGGGUCCAGGGGUCGACUUUCCAGAGAUCGACUUUCUGGGGGUCGACUUUUCCUGGUGACCGACUUUACUUAAAAGUCGAUCCCAGGGAAGUCGAUCCCAGGGAAGUCGAUCCUCAGGAAAGUCGAUCUUCCUAGGAUUCGACCUGGAACCUCCCCAACCCUAGAAUAGAUACCUCAACUCAUCUUAGGCUAUCCGGACUUCUAGUUGCUGGUAGGUUGUGACCGUGUUCGGGAUACUGUAUCACCAGUACUCCCCCCUCCUCUGCGUAUUAGAUACUUUGGGAUACGUCUUUUAGUACUAUGGUCUGUGUGUCGGACCCUGUACUAUCAGUAUUCCCCCCCUCUUUGCGUGCUGGGGUGUGGAUUUCCGGUGAUGUCCCUGGAUGUAAGAUCCUCUCUCACCAGUACUCCCCCCCCUCUCUACGCCUGCGAGGUUGUAUCUAUGCUUCCACGGAGGUUGUCACGCGCUCUUGCCAACUAUUGUCCGGUUUGUCCUAGCCGAAGCCUACUCCUUGCACACCUGUUCGGCCCGAUUCUCCCGCGGAACCCUGCUUGCCCACCUUGACUCCUUGCCUGCGCUAUCUUUGAGCAUUGUUUGGGUUCUCUUCCCUAUGGCGGGUUUUGAGAGUACCCGACCCCCUCCUUUUAUCCGCCUUUCUGCGAUAGGGGUUGAGUGUGCUUCCUCGUCUACCCACGUUCAUCCGUGGGUGAGGACUAUUGCCUGAAUACUUGCCCCCUCCUUUUGCUCGCCUUUCUGCGACUGAGGCUAAGUGCGACUCCUCGUCUACCUACGUUCAUCCGUAGGUGAGGAUUGUUACUUGAAUACUUGCCCCCUCCUUUUGCUCGCCUUUCUGCGACUGAGGCUAAGUACGACUCCUUGUCUACCUACGUUCAUCCGUGGGUGAGGAUUGGUACUUGAAUACUUGUACCCUCCUUUUGCUCGCCUUUCUGCGACUGAGGCUAGGCGUAACUCCUCGCCUACCUACGUUCAUCCGUAGGUGAGGAUUUUUACUUGAAUACUUGCCCCCUCCUUUUGCUCGCCUUUUUGCGACUGAGGCUGAGUGUGAUUCCUCGUCUACCUACGUUCAUCCGUAGGUGAGGAUUGUUACUUGAAUACUUGCCCCCUCCUUUUGCUCGCCUUUCUGCGACUGAGGCUAGGCGUGACUCCUCGUCUACCUACAUUUAUCCGUAGGUGAGGAUUUUUACUUGAAUACUUGCCCCCUCCUUUUGCUCGCCUUUUUGCGACUGAGGCUUUUGUGUGAUNNNNNNNNNNNNNNNNNNNNNNNNNNNNNNNNNNNNNNNNNNNNNNNNNNNNNNNNNNNNNNNNNNNNNNNNNNNNNNNNNNNNNNNNNNNNNNNNNNNNCCUUUUGCUCGCCUUUCUGCGACUGAGGCUAGGCGUGACUCCUCGUCUACCUACGCUCAUCCGUAGGUGAGGAUUGUUGUUGAGUACGUCCCUCGUCUAACCUACGUUCUUCCGUAGGUGAGGUUUACUCUUGGGUACUUGCCCCUCUGUCUACAUUUUUAUAAAACGGGGUGUGUCUUUAGCCGAUGUAUCCCCCGUCUAACCUACGUUCUUCCGUAGGUGGGGCUUACUUUUGCCGAUGUGUUCCCCAUCUAACCUACUUUCUUCCGUAGGUGGGGUUCACUUUUGAGUACAUCCCUCGUCUAACACUACGUUUCCGUAGGUGAGGUUCACCCUUUAGCUGACGUGUCCCCCGUCUAACCUGCGUUCUUCCGUAGGUGGGGUUCACUUUUGAGUACGUCCCUCGUCUAACACUACGUUUCCGUAGGUGAGGUUCACUCUUGCUGAUGUGUUCCCCGUCUAACCUACGUUCUUCCGUAGGUGGGGUUCGCUUUUGAGUACAUCCCUCGUUUAAUACUACGUUUCCGUAGGUGAGNNNNNNNNNNNNNNNNNNNNNNNNNNNNNNNNNNNNNNNNNNNNNNNNNNNNNNNNNNNNNNNNNNNNNNNNNNNNNNNNNNNNNNNNNNNNNNNNNNNNUAUAGCCGUUUAUAGGCUCAGUUCAUUAUGUUGGUAUAUUUGUGUCCACACGUUCUCCAUGUCGGUCCCAAUUAGUGUAAUCACUCAUAAAACCGGACUUGUAAAGAUUUACUGUCAUUAUAUCUCUAACUUCCUUAUUUAAACAACAACAACUACUACAAGGGCAUUUAAUUUUUCCAUCUUCACGAGUCAUAAUUGACUCUGAGAAUGCAAAGUUUAGAAACCGCUCGACACCAUUGAGAAAUGAAUCGGUAAUUUGAUUUUUCUCAUCUAGUCGGUUGUACAUCCAAUUUCGAUCAUUGCCGGUCAUUCUAUAAAAUAAUUGAAACAUGCAAAAAUGAGUUGCAUGUCCGCAUGAGUUUCAUGAAAAAUAUAUCAUGAAAAAUAAAAAAAUAAAUCAUAAUAAGAAAGGCUUUGCAGGCUCAGCUUGGCUCAGUUCAGCUCGGCUCAGCUAGGGCUUGUCAAGCUCAGCUUGGCUCGGCUCGGCUAGGGCUUGUCAGGCUCAGCUUGGCUCGGCUCAGCUCGGCUCAGCUAGGGCUUGUCAGGCUCCGCUUGGCUCGGCUCAGCUCGGAAAAUAAUCUAAACACUACGAUUAAAUUUUUACAGACUGAUAAUGGAGGCCGGGGGCAUAUGUUAGUAAUGAGUUUAAAUAAUUCUAAGGAGAAAAUGGAAUUAGCCAUAUUUUCUAAUGCCCUCAUACUCAUGAGAAGGUAGCAAUUUCUUAAAUAAUGGAAGUGUCCUGUUUUUGUUUUUUGUUUUUUUACCCUAUCACUAUAUCAGUAAAUAGAUGAAUGUAAUGCAUGUUUGAAUGAUAACAUAAUCAAAUCAGAAUAACAUCAAUCGUGAUAUUCAUUCAUAAAAAUAGAAAUAGAGAAUUGGGUCAAAUAAGAAUUUUACUUUAUUUUAGCAUCACAAUUCUUUAAUGGAAAAUAUUACUGAUAUUCUGACAAUAAUAAUCGAAUUUAAAUUGAUGAAGCAUAUAUAUUCAUAAAAUUAUACCAUUGCUAGGUUUAAGUUAUACCUCAAGAUGUUUAUCUAGUCCUCGAUAAUGUUAGGAUGGUUCUUGUUUGGAAAAAUAUCUUUGUAGACAUGUAUCCAUAUUAAAAGAAGAACAUAGUUACAAUAAUUCAUUUAGUAAUUUAGUUGAUGCUUCAAUUGAACAUUGGCACUUGGAUAUAGUAUACAAGCGAUUUUAGGUUGUUUCAAAUAACAACUGAUUCGUGAAACCAACUGAACUAACAAAAUUCUCCAUUUGUUUUGAACUGAAUUUUGAUCAAAUAUGAAGUCCAUUUGUUUUAGUUUAAGUGUUCUCAAUUCUACUAUAUCCUUGUUCUAAUUUAGAAAUUGGGUAGUCUCUUCAAGUUCUCAAUAUCAACAAUAUCAAUAUCAACAUUUCAAGGCUGCAUGAAUGUCAUUCCUUGAUUCUGUUUGCUCUACAGACACAUAUAGAUUGUUUUUAAAUUUCACCUGCCCUUCUAUCUUUAGCCAGAGGAUCAGGAGGGUGCUGAGUUUUGAUCUGAAGCCAAAUAGGCUGUUGACAACUUGGCAUCUAACUAGGAUGAAGUUCUAUUGCCAGACACUACGAAGCAUCCAUAUAUUGAUGAUCUUUCUGUGAAUUAAAAAUUUUGUCCAAACUCCAGAUUCAAGUUGAGCUCUCUCAGAAAUGCUUCGUCAUAGGGUAUCUCUCUGAACUCUGAAGCACCUUCCUCUCCUACAUAUAUUCCAGGAAGAUGUACACAUCCCAUUGGUCACCAACCUAUGGAAUCUUUUAAACAAGUGUAAUGUUCCUGAUAUCACUGAGUCACAUGGUUUAAAAUAUGCACAUGCAUGCUUACACCCUUAGGCACAGAAGGAUUCAUGCUUUUCCCACAUCUCAACUAAUCAGAUAGGCAGAUUCGGUUUUAGAUUCGUCUGAUUAACCAAAUAUUACUUAGGUAAAAAGAAAAAUGGAUGAUUUUUUCCAUCUGUUUUUCUUAUUCACAGGAAUAUAAGGUUUCCAAAUUCUCUGAAGUCUGUUCAGACUUUUGGAAAGCUUCUUUUACAAAUUACUAAUAGUAAUAUAAGUCUAAUAUAUUUAAUCAUAAUUUAAUAGUAUUAAAAACUAAAAAGUUUGUGAUCAUGUCAUAUAAAAAAAUACAUGUGGCGCAUUAGGCAUGCUUGUUCCCCAAGAUAUCAUAAGGUGCAUGGUGCUAGCAUACUGCACCUUAGCACAUUUUAAACCUUGCUGAGAUCUGAUCCUCCUUUAUUGACUGAUCUUCCAAGGAAUGAAAUCCCCCCUUCCCCAUAGAAAAUGCAAAUUAAUUACCUGAUCUUAUUUAUCACUUUAGGGAUUUUCUAGCUGAAAUUUGUAAAUCUACAUAUAUGAUUGCAUGUGAAGGAAGGAGUUUGCCACUUCUCCAUAGGAAAUUCUAAGUUUUUCCAAUUCUUAUCCAUCACUCGUCUAGGAAUGUCAUAGCUGAAUUCCUGAACAAAUGGACUUCAUAAACCCACAUAUAUUAUAGCUUAUUAUUCCAUUUGAAGCCUGCCAGCAUAUGAUGGCAUUUUUUCUGAUUAUUUGACAUACAUCUAUGCAUACUCUGCUGCAAAUCUGGUCCCUCAAAUUUUUCCCAAAUGAUAGAUUUUAAGGCAAUAGUUACCCCGUCAAUAUCCAGUGUUUAGGAGCAAUAAUUUUGGGUUUGUGUUGUUUCUUGCAUUAUGCUUUAGUUUGCUAAAUUAUGAAUAAAAAUUAUAUCAANNNNNNNNNNNNNNNNNNNNNNNNNNNNNNNNNNNNNNNNNNNNNNNNNNNNNNNNNNNNNNNNNNNNNNNNNNNNNNNNNNNNNNNNNNNNNNNNNNNNCUUUGUGAUUUUUCUUUGGUAUUUUUAUUCGGUAGAGAAACAACUACAAGAAGAUAUCAAAAUAUUUUCUCAUGACUCAUGAGUGAUUACUCCGGUGCAGGGAAAAAAUUAUUGUAAAAAGAACAGCAAAGAAGAGAAGGAAAAGAUAGAAAAAUAUUGAGCUCAGAGUGUAAUAAACUUACUUGAUUGCAGCUUUUAAGAAUGAUGAACAGAUUGUGCUUCUAUAACAGAUUGGCGAAAUCCGGCGAGAGGAGAAAUCCGGCGAAAUCCGGCGAGAGGAGAAAUCCGGCGAAAUCCGUCGAUGAUGAUCGGCGAAAACCGGCGAGAGGAGAAAUCCGGCGAAAUCCGUUGAUGAUGAUCGGCGAAAACCGGCUAUUAAGAAUGAAUAGGAAAAUCCGGCGAGAGGAGAAAUUGGGGGUGGAUGGUUUAGGGUUUAAGGUUUGGGAGUGAAAUUGGGGGUGAAGUGUGAAAUUGGGGGUUGUUUAAAGGGUCAUUUUACAUUAAUACCUUAUNNNNNNNNNNNNNNNNNNNNNNNNNNNNNNNNNNNNNNNNNNNNNNNNNNNNNNNNNNNNNNNNNNNNNNNNNNNNNNNNNNNNNNNNNNNNNNNNNNNNUAUUGCUAAUUAUAAAUUUCUCAUAAAAGAUAAAAUAUUAAGGGUUACACCGAAAGACAUAGGGUAUAUUUUCGGUCUACCAUUUUCCGGUGCGAAAAUUCAGGUGGGUAGGUGUGAUUCUAUCAAUUAUUCUACUUCUUUCUGACAUAAGUACUUCAAUGUAUGUCAAACACGUCAUUAGGUAAUUUUCAAACUCCUUUUUAUUUUUUAAUUUAAAUAAUCUUUAUAUUUUAAAUUGAAAAUUGUAAUAAAUAUUAAUCUUAUUAUACAUGCGUUAUUCUUUAUAGUGCUUUUAGUAAAGGAAGCAUUUAAAUCUAUCGUCCUCUCUGUUAAUUUUGAAGAAGAAAAUUUAAAGGAUUAUUAAAGGGAAAUCAGUUACUUAAUUACACUUAGUUAGUUAGCUAAUCUAGUUAGAAGUCUGUUACACAAAGUCCUAUAUAAUUAAGGACAUGAUAUCAUUAGUAAUAAUCAUCAAGUUUACAAUACAAAUCUAUUUCUCUAGUUUGUGAUAUGUUGACACUUGUUCAAAUGAACCCUCUGUCGUGGGGCUCACGGGUAGCAUCCGGGGCUCUGAGUUCACCCAAAGUUCACAAUGUGCGAACCCAGUAGGGUUACCAUUCCUUCAUAGAAGGGGAACUCAGCCAUUCUAUAUCUAUCCCUGUCCAACUCGGUGGCAGGGGGUGGAGUCUUAGCUCCAUUAGAUGGGUCACGGACGUGGCCCCCGCCAACAGUAUGAGUCUCGCCACGAUCUAGAAUAAACUCUUGUUCAUAAUUCACAAGUGAUUCAGGGUUUGGUUUCACAAUGCGAAGUGGAACAUCAAACCUUUCAGCUUGAAUCGCCGAUUCAGGAUCCGGAAUCGUCGAUUUGUAGUUAAUAAUUGUCGAUUCAGGACCAAGGUCUCAGUGAUUCCUUCUCUUGAAAGUGGUGUUCAAUUCAAUGGUGGGGACAUCCUUGGCCACCUCAGCAAUCGACGAUUUCUUCUGGGAAAUCGAAGGAUCUCACCCACUUCAGCGAGUGAUUCAGCCCCGGUGAAAUCGAAGGAUCGCUACAGCCUUGAUGAGGAUCAAAGUCGCUCUGUCGCUAUGGCCGGAGUUGGACUACAAAAUUUUGUCGCUUUGGCUUUAAUGGAUCCUGGAUCAUUUUGUUGCUAUGGCCUUAAUGAUCCAUUCAACCUUUCUUGGGGGGAGGGAUACUGGCGAUACACGCCUGAUUACAUGCUCUCUUUAGGGGUGAGUACUGCUGAUACAUGAAUGUAACGCCAGUCACUCCCAUCAAUGUCCCUCAGCAAGGACUAGGGUUCUGUUUGCUUUAUACCGAACUCCCGAAAGGCUCCCACGAUCGCGGAACAAUGGUCUUCGUCAAGUAACCGAGUUGAACUAGUGAAUCACUGACUUGGGGCUGCCAAAUCGCCGAUUCCAGUGGUAAAUCGCCGAGUUGAGGCCGAGAUCACCAGUACUGGCAGGCUUCCGAUCUCGCCCCUCUGAACUCGCCGACUCAGCAACUCCAAUCGCCGAUUCACCCCCCAAUCGCCGAUCUCACGAUUGUUACUCGUCGCCAGCUCGCGUCAUUAAUGGCGUGCCAUUAAUGCCUGGCGCGAUCACCGUCGCAGAUUACGUCAGGAAGGCCCUAUAAAAGGGGUCCUCUGAACACAAUUCAAGGCAUCAGAUCCAUUCCAAUCCAGAGAAGAGCAGGGAGCAAAUCGUCGAUUAUACUGAUAUAAUCGUCGAUUCCUUUCAGAAGAUUUGACGUAGAGCGCGCAUCGUGGACUCCAGAGCCUCCGGCAUCACCUCGCACCACCACGAGCGCGCCAUAGUAAUAUUUCCCAUGCUUCAUCACCGUUUAUUUAAAAUAUUGAGAAUAUGAAUGCACUAUAUUCUACUUAUAUUUAGUCAAUUCAAAAGAAGCAUUAGAUUCAAAUAUAAUAUUAGGAUAGAAUUAAUUAAUGAUUAUAGCUUAUAUAUAUAUAUAUAUAUAUAUAUAUAUAUAUAUACAGCAUAAAUCAGGAACGACACUUACCGUUCCUUGAGUCAGUGCGGUACCUACCUCCUCCACCUUCCGAUUUCGUAUCCACGGCUGUAUCCUCCUCCAGCCACCGUUCCAACACCGGUAAUUGUUCCAACAUCGAGCGAACUGCAAUCUCCGCAUCCUCACCGGUCACCGAACAGUUCUGUCACGGAACCCAUCGCGGUUCCGCGAACUGCAAUCUCUCGCGGUUCUACGAUGGGUACCGGAACUGCAGCUCGCGAUCACGAUGGUUGCCGGAACUGCAAUCGCGAGCCGCGAUCGUAGAAUCGAUGGGUACCGGAACUGCAAUCUCCACGAACUGCAAUCGCGAGCUGCAAUCGUAGAAUCGAUGGGUACCGGAACUGCAAUCGCGAACUGCAAUCUCCACGGAAGCCAUCGCGGUUCUACGAUGGGUACCGGAACUGCAGCUCGCGAUCACGAUGGUUGCCGGAACUGCAAUCGCAGUUCCAUCACUGCAAUCGAUGUCGGACCUGCAGGAUGUAGUUCCGGCAGAUUUGGUGUCGCACGGGGGAACGUUCGAAAGACCAGCCGUUCCAGAAACUUUCCCUAUAUAUAUAUAUGAAAUUUAAAAAUUCAUAUCUCAUAUUAUUAUAAAUGUUGCCGCUUCCUUCUUUCUCAGUAUGACGACCAACACAAACCAAAGCACCACGAUUUGCAAUACCUUGCCCAAAAUUAAUAAUUUUUAAUUCAAUAAAAUCUAACCAAAAUAAUUUAUAAGCUAGUAUGGAAGAUUUAAAUAAAAAUUCUCGAUUUCUCACCCAAGAGAAUACAUUGAUAUCAGUCGUUUCGUGGCGACCCGUCAGUCUUCGUUCAUUUCUAAUACCAUAUUUGACAAUGUGUUCCUUGUGGCAUAAACCUAACUUCUCGAUGGUCUUCUCUAUCACAUCAUAGCCACCUUCUGAUCUCAUAGACCUUAUGUUAUAUAUAAUUAAGUUUAAUUACAUACAAUAUAUAUGUAAAUUGACAAUUAAUAAAUGUUGCAAUUAAUAUGACUAAUUUAUAAAUAGAAUUGUAGAUAAUUAAUUAAUUACGAUGUAGUACUUAAUUAAUUAUGUGAUUAAAUGAUAAAAUAUGAUGACCAUAUGUGUUACUUCUAAAUGAAUGCAGAUGAAGUAUAUAUGGAUGGGUGUGAUUAAUUUGAUAUCAUAUAUAAGAUAUGAUUAUAUAGCUAGAUAUUACUUGACAAUCUUUUUUAAUUAAUGAUAUUCAAAACUAGCUCAAGGCCUUUCUUUUAUUCAUGUAGAAACUAAUUAGGGUUAGGGUUAGAGUCAUGUAGAAACACCAUUCCAAUAUUCCUAGUCGUAUAUAUAUAUAUAAUGGGUUGUGGGCUCGCGUUAGGGUGCUCACACACACAAUUCUUUAGUAUUAUUUCUACUGAUAAUCGACCCCCUUCCUUGUUGCACUGGGGAGGUAUUUAUAACCUAUAUCCUUGGGUCUACUGAGCCUAGCAGGCCUAUUUGGUCCGGGGUCCGGUACCAACAAUAUAUAUUAAAAAGUUUGGAAAGUUUUAAUCUAAAAUAGAAUUAUUAAUGAAAGAGACUUCAACUAACCGGAAUUGGUUUGGGAGCAAAAAUAAGGGUAACUCCUUCCAAUUCAGCAACCCUAGCGCCACCUCUUGAGUCUUAAGCAAACCCCUUCUCCCACUUCUGAUCUCCCUCCUUUCUCAAAAGAGAGGGGGGAGACAAGUUCUUUCCCUCUUCCCCCUUUCAUGCCUUUCUCUACCGUUCUCCCUCCUCGUUGUAUGUCGUCGUCUUAGAUCCUCACCCACAACUCCCUAUCUCUCCAUUUCUUUUUGCCUCCUGAAGCUUAUUCGAUUCUUUCCCAUUUCUUUUAUGGUCGUCGUGAUUCCGUUGCUCCUUUUCAGGUUCAGAGGAGGGGAAGAGGGCUUCUCGCCACUUCUCCUUAUCGUCAUAUGGCCUCGCCCGCAGACUAAGAAGCUUUCUCGAUUCCAUUCUGAGUUGCUUUCAGAUUUAACCAAUUUUCUUCCCGUUUGAGGAUGGAAAAUUAGGGAUUUAAUGUAAAAGGGAAAUCAGGAAGUUAUAUCGUCGGAUGACAAAUGCAAUCUAGGAAAUGCAAUUUAGUUACGCAUACUCAUAAUAAUUUUGCUGUACUUACAUUUAAUAAUAUAAUACAUCCCAUAUCAAUUAAACUUAAUAUACACGGUAAAGACACUCCAUAGGGUAAAUUUUUGACAACGAAUAGUCCUUGAAUCACAUGAUUGACGAGCCAAAGGAUGUUGAGAUCGUCAAUACAUCCCUCUGAUGUUGGUGAUAUAGAGCUGUUGGUACCAUGGACCGCGGACCAUGGCCCAUAGACCGAACAAGGCCUGUCGGCGGCCCAGGCGAGUGGGCGGGCCCAACGUACGAGCCCACGAGGCCCGAGGUCGACGAUGGGAAGCUAUAAAUACCUCCCCUGAUCCAACAGGGGACGGGGUUGAUAAUUCUUGGAGGAACACUUGUACUAAGUUGCGGUUGUGAGCUUACUCCGGCGAGCCCGCACACCAACAGUGGUGAACCUGACGUGAACGAACACGCGACAAUCGGAGAAGAGGAGGAUGACAAGAAGCGGCUAUCAAGUAGGGGAAUGCUCCAAGCGACGCGAGCGAGCAGNNNNNNNNNNNNNNNNNNNNNNNNNNNNNNNNNNNNNNNNNNNNNNNNNNNNNNNNNNNNNNNNNNNNNNNNNNNNNNNNNNNNNNNNNNNNNNNNNNNNCCCAGGAAGAGAGGUUACGCAUGGAGUUGGAGAAAAUAAGGUAUGGGUGGGAGUCUCCCAGAAAGAGCCGGCGUCCCCGCCCAGGGAUACGAGUACGCGGUCCCGGUCGCGAUCCCGGGAGAAAAGGGAAAGGGAGCACGAGAGGCUCGGGCGAAGGGAACGCGCGGAGGAGAGGGCGCGCGCGGAAAGGGAGACCAAGCGAGAGAGGGUGCAGCUCGUGGAACUGAUAUCCACUCUACAGAAGAGCCAGCGCCAGCUGCAGGAGCAGGUACACCAGCUCACGGUGACCCCCCGUACCCUGGAGUUGGACGGGGGCGGAGGCGGAGACCCAAUGUACGGACCGGCCCCCCCGGGUGAAGGACCCGGGAGCGAUACCCCACCCGCGAAAGCCCCGGGUGCCAUCACCAUGAUGAAGGCCGUAGCAACACCGGUCCCAUUCGCAAGAUGGGGAAUUGACAUAGUCGGGCCAUUCCCACCAAUGUCAAGAGGAAGGAAGUUCCUAUUCGUAGUGGUCGACUAUUUCACGAAGUAGGCUGAGGCGGAGGCCACGAAUACGAUCAGUGAACAGAACGUGGUAAAUUUCGUCUUGAGAAACAUCGUCUGCCGGUUCGGGGUCCCGAUCCAUAUAAUAACAGACAACGGAACGCAGUUCACAGGAAAGAAACUAAGGGAGUUCUGCGAAGACAGCGGGAUCAAGCUGAGCUUCGCGCCAGUCUACCACCCGCAGGCGAACGGACAGGUAGAGGUCACGAACCGGACGAUAACAUCGAUCCUGAAGAGGAAGGUAGGCGAGCACCCGGGGAACUGGGCGGACCUAGUCCCCGAGACUAUGUGGGCAUUCCGCACGACUAUCCGGACUCCCACGGGCCAAACCCCGUUCGCCCUCACUUUCGGGAUGGAGGCGGUAGCACCGGCCGAAUUGGUAUGGCCGACCGCACGCAUCGAGCAAUACCAGCCGGGGACGAACGAUCAAGCGAUGCUCCUAAAAAGGGAGCACCUAGAGGACCGAAGAGAGGAGGCGUCUAUCAGUGACCUCACCUACAAACGAAGGGUGGCGAGGUACCACAACGAAAGAGUGACCAACAAGAACCUGGUGUCAGGGGAUCUGGUGUUGAGAAACGCCAAGGUAACUGGAAUCGACCAGACAAAGGGGAAGUUGUCAGCAAGGUGGGAGGGCCCGUACGUCAUCAUGGACGAGAUUCACCCAGGCAUCUUCCGCCUAGGGUACGAGGACGGGCAAGAAAUUGAAAGAACGUGGCACGCCGACAACCUGGAAAAGUACAGGCGGUGAAGCAGCAUGUCCGAGGUCGGCGAAAAAGUAUUUUCUCUCUUUGUUUCGUUCCCCCCGUCCCAUGUAACGUCGGGCGUCUCCCCGACCACGGCACGCGAUGCCCAAUAAAACGCACCCGUAGUGCACCCAUUUUAAGAAAAAAUGAGAAGUAAAAAAAGAGGGGGAGCCCGCCGAAAAGGCCACCGAAAAGCUCUCAGGGUCGGGAGACCGCAUGAGACAAUCCGAACGGCCCAGGCCGCCCCCCCUCCCAAAAAAAAACGUAAUAAGUAAGAACGCGAAAGCGAUANNNNNNNNNNNNNNNNNNNNNNNNNNNNNNNNNNNNNNNNNNNNNNNNNNNNNNNNNNNNNNNNNNNNNNNNNNNNNNNNNNNNNNNNNNNNNNNNNNNNNNNNNNNNNNNNNNNNNNNNNNNNNNNNNNNNNNNNNNNNNNNNNNNNNNNNNNNNNNNNNNNNNNNNNNNNNNNNNNNNNNNNNNNNNNNNNNNNNNNNNNNNNNNNNNNNNNNNNNNNNNNNNNNNNNNNNNNNNNAGUAAACGAACGCGGAAGGAGAAAAGGUCUGAAGAAGAAGAAUAGUAGGUGAUUGGAUGCAUUCAAAAGUUACGAAUGAAUAUAAAAAAAGUUAAGUGUUUUUACAUUACAAAAAAGAGAAGGAAAUAAAAACUGUUCAGGGACGAACGAAGGGCUAUUCGAGCGGAGGCUCCGUGUAAUCAGGGAAGUUGGCCUCAAGGUCCUGCUCCUCGCUCUCGCUCACGUCCAAGGGAGGCUGGUAGGAGGGGACGCUCGUCUUUCGCCAGUCUUCCCACUCUGGGCGGCUCCGGGGCACGACGCCGAGCGAAAGGGGCGGGUAGACGAGUUCGCACAUCCGNNNNNNNNNNNNNNNNNNNNNNNNNNNNNNNNNNNNNNNNNNNNNNNNNNNNNNNNNNNNNNNNNNNNNNNNNNNNNNNNNNNNNNNNNNNNNNNNNNNNCCAUGACCGUCUCCAGGGCAGCGGCGACAGACUUCCGUUUCUCGGACCGAAUUUUUUUCCUUCGUCGCCGCUCGGCUCGGUUGUCUCGAAGGCCAUAGUCAGAUUCGGCCGGGUGGCCACCCUCGGUUUCGAGAUCAUGCGAAGGCGGAGAAGCGGGGGACUCAAACUGGACGGCGUCGAGCGGCCUUUUUUGCUUCGGGCGUUUGGGCGGCCCGUCCUGAAAGUAAGGCAUCUUGACGGGCAAAGCCAGAUGCACGUCAUAGCUCUAAGAUUGGGCCAGCGUCCGAGCAUUGACGACCCCGCGGCGGUAAAUUUCAAUAAGAACUUCCUGGGCGCUUCGGGCCAGGGGCGCCAACGCAUCUCGGCUAGGGGCGGCGGUCCGGGUCUUCAACUGAGUCAGCAGAGCCCAGCGUGUAGGGACCUCCGAACAGGACAGACCAAGGACGUCAACAGGGACGAAGAAGAACCGGUCCCGCCAGUGGUGAGAUCGGUCGACCAGCUGGUCGAAGAGGGCACCGCCCGACCUCUGGGCGAUCAGCAGACGGCGGGGAUCAGUUGUCAUCGAGGUCAUGGUGAACCAGAUCAAGAAGACGGGCAGGAAGACUUCGAUGCCAGACCGACGGCAAAGCAGGGUAAAGGUCAUCAGACGGUCGAUGGCAGCCGGGGGGAACUGGGAGAUCGAGAUGUCGCAGAAGUACAUCGCUUCGGCCACCAGAGGGGGAAGCGGAAGAGUAAGGCCGGCCUCGACGAAGGGCGUGUAAAGAGCCACCAUGCCCCGCGGCGGUUGAGAGGCGAGACGUGUUCCGGCCUCAGUAUAAACCAGGUCUGGCUGGCCCAUUUUCACCAGAGCCUCCCGGAUUACGUCAGAUCCGACGGUGGACAGCGGAUUCUUGCUGGUAGGAGCGGCAAAGAGUGACUCGGCAAGAGCGGCGUCGGCGUCGGAUUGAGAUGCGACAGCAGAACCAGCGGCGGAGUGUGGAGGAGCGGCCAUCAGCAACCUGGUGAAAGAGGAGUGGUCGGAGUCGAGGAAGACGAGGAGCGAGACGAGAGAGGAAGUGAGAAUCAGUCGCGAAUGAAGGGGGGAGCAGGGUUUAUAUAAGGGUUCGAGGGCGCGGAAGACGAGGCGUCGCUUACCUGGGUUGGAUGGGACUAAUUGGGCCGGGGGGCCUCCGUGGGAACCCAGGGCCCAGUUCGUCGGGGAGCAGGGUGAAAGUCAGCGCCCGGCGCGGACGGCGAGGAGCUGGACAGACGUCCGACGAAGACCCGGCGGCGUCCAGUGAUCAAACGAUACGCGCGGAACGAGGCGGCGGUGUCCAAGCGGACCCACUGGUGGACCCAACCAAGGAGUCGAACGAGACGACGUAAUGGGAGAGCCCCCACGUCGGCGAAGAGGUGGCCCGCGGCGGGGAGCGAGGGCAAAGCUCAAGAAGGGCCCGGGCAACGUCGGCAGAAAACGCCGAGUAGCGCAAAUUUGCACCAACGUGCGAGGGCAAAGUCAAAACAAAAGAGAAAGAAGCGAAGGAAAAGCAUUCAUUAAAGUAAAACAAGUGUUACAAUAGCCGGCGACACGGCGGAAAAAAGAACACAACACAUAACAACAACAAAAGUACGGAUACAAAAAAAGAAGAGGAGAGAAGAAGGACGAGGCGCCCCAGACGCCGCCCCGCGAAGGCAGACCCACAGCCCGAAAGGACGUGGGCGCGACCGCGGAUAGCCCCACGACGGGCUUAGCAGGCCGACUUCAAGGACCCCGACAGGAAGUGGCGCAGGUCAGUAGCCGGAAGGGACGGAGACCCACGGGAGCGGCGAUGGCCGCGCGACCGACGAGGCUUUGUCAGAGAAUCGGCGGCGGCAGCGACAGCAGGAGCGACGAUCAUACCAUGCGCGCUGAAGGCACGUGAGGUACCAGCGGAGCCCGAGACGGCGGCAAGAGCGUUAGCGGGGCAGGCGACGGCAGGAUGGCCCGUGAGAGGGUCGGAGCGGCGAACCUGGGAGAGGCGGUGAUGGACGUCGAUCAGCACGGCGUUGAGACGUUGAGUCUCAGCUACGGCUACGCUGUUAGGGACGCCAGCAGGCGACAUCAGGCACAUGUCCCAGGCGGCGUGCUGAAGCUGCACUUCGCGACCGUACUCCUCGAGGAUGUCUUGAACGCUCAUGGAGAAGGGGGAUGGUACGAGAAGUUGAAGAGGCGAGUAGGCUAUUUAUAGGAAGGAGAAGGGGGAGCGGCUCGAGUACCGAGGAGCUUUAAUGGAGGUGGUUGUAGGCGGGACGGGGGCGGACGGCCCCCGGGCCCGGACCCGUCGAGGAAGGGGGGAGUAUGGGUAUUGAUUCACCAAAAAUAAUUGACUUCUUCAAACUGAUUUAUAAUUUUGAAUAAUUUUGGAAAUCACAAAUUUAUUUUUAUUAAAAAUGUCUUUUAGACAUUUUUAUCUUUAAGUUGAAGCGUCACCUUUGCAACGUCUAAUACAACAAAUACUACCAAAACCUACAUUUCGAUUUAUUUCUCCCCGUUUACAGCCCUCGUUGUUUUUAUUUCCUAUUUUCUGAUUGACUGUAGAAAUAUUCUCCAUUCUUCCCAAAGGUAAAAUGAUUUUAUAUUGCAAAUUAUUAUAACGAUAUAAUCUUGAGAUAUUGGAAGAAAAUGUGUUGUAAAUGAUGUGCUAUUCCAAUUACUUUAUAGAAAAAUAUAUAUUUGUAACCGAUGUAACGCUCGUCGGUUACAGAUUCAUUUUAAAUUCAAAUUAUUAAGUUCUACUAAAUUUUAUUACGCAAAAAAAGGGAUGAGCAACGAUGUGUUGGACACCCCGACCUAAGAGUUACCUCACACAUUUUGAUAACAAUAGAAACAACCCCUCGGGUUUACAUAUAAAAUAAAGGGAUAUAUAUAUAUGAAAAAUAAUACUAAUGUGUUCAGAGGUUUACACUCCCCAAACAUUAGAGUAUAUAGCAUAAACCCUAACUUACCCAGAACUAGAGAAAGCUUCAAUGUGAUGGAUGAUGAUAUAGGAUUGUAAACUUUUCUUCGCUAUCAACCGGAAUUCUGGAUCCCUGAAGGCUCCCAGAGAUAUGGAAAAAACACUUUUAAAAAUCUCGAAUACAAAGGUUAUUCUAAGCUACUAGCUAGGGGAUUUCUUCAUGAGAAUAGGUGAUUUUCACUAUCAAAAAUGGGAUCUACGGACAUUUCUUGGACCUAGCCUAGCCCUUGGAGGUUAUAUAAAAGGAGACCCUGGCUAAGAGCAUAUCUAAGGAAUUAAUUCUACCCAUUUCAAAGUGACAUAUAUGGAGAAAUCGCCGACUUUAUCACUCUAGUCGUUGAUUCUUGCUUGAGAACUAAACGUUGAGCGUGCUUCUUAGACUCACGAGCUUUCGGACCAACAAGACGACCAUCAUUAGUUGGCACCGUCUUAUAGAAGAAUCUCAAGCUCGUAAGAGAUUUAACAUACCAAAGAUUUUAGGCAAGUUCGUCUAUUUUCAUCUAGAAAUCGUAAAUUUCGUUAAUUAGACAGCUUCACGUUCAUUUCAUUCGACCCGAAGCUAAGUCAAUAGCAUAUUAGCCAUUGAAAUAUCAAUAAUAAAUCUUCCCCGAAAUCUACAAUGGUGCUGUGCAAAAUGAAUGCCAACAACGAAAUCUUCCCCGAAAAUUAUGUUUCCAAAACACACACAGCUCCGUCUGGAAAAUUUACACUUCAAACAAUUUGCCGAUUGGUUUAAAAAACACAUGUCCGAAGCUCAACAAUCUGACACAGAUUUAAAUUCUAUUUCCCGCGGACCAAGUUGUUUUGCUUCAAUUUAUAGUGGUUACAUUAUGAAUGGAUUAAAAUUUCAGACGUCAGAAUUGACAAAUCGUAGAUCAACGCAAAAUAACGGUAUUUUUCUAUCGGCUACAACAUCAACGUAUGCUAAAUCUCCAAAUGAUGCUCCGUUGGUAGCAGAAAUUGAAUAUCAUGGAUUAUUAGAAAAUGUUUUCGAAAUUUGCUACGGUCACACGACUAAAUAUUGUCUGUUUGAAUGUAAGUGGUACGAUCCUGGAAAAGCAGGUACUAAAGUUGAUGAUUUUGGUGUCGUUUCAGUCAACACGACACGGGGGAAAUUUGGAAAAGAACCUUUCAUUUUAGCAAAUCAGGCUCAACAAUGUUUCUACAUUCAAGAUCCGGUAGAAUCUGAAUGGAGUUCAGUCCUUAAAAUACCAAAUAGAGAUAUUUUCGAUGUUGAUAAUGAUGAUUGUUGUAAUUAAAUUAUAAAGUAUUACAUUACAAUAUAAUUUAAUAUUUUCAAUGUAAUAUCAUGUUGAUUAUAAAUCUUUCUUUUUUUUCAGUAAAAAAUGAGUCAACUACUUGCAAUCGUCGAACGAUAUAAACGACUAGAGCGACUUAAUCAGAUUCAACGUAGUUUUUACAAAAACAUAGAUUAUUAUUGUCGUGUUUUUGCUUGUUUCCGUUGCGGAGUCAACGGUCAUCAUUUUCACAACUGUCCAAAAAUAUGGUUGACAAAUCCUCAAACAAUGGAAACCGGUCAGAUUUUAGUGUUAGGAUACGAGGCUAGAGUGUUGAAUGAUNNNNNNNNNNNNNNNNNNNNNNNNNNNNNNNNNNNNNNNNNNNNNNNNNNNNNNNNNNNNNNNNNNNNNNNNNNNNNNNNNNNNNNNNNNNNNNNNNNNNNNNNNNNNNNNNNNNNNNNNNNNNNNNNNNNNNNNNNNNNNNNNNNNNNNNNNNNNNNNNNNNNNNNNNNNNNNNNNNNNNNNNNNNNNNNNNNNNNNNNNNNNNNNNNNNNNNNNNNNNNNNNNNNNNNNNNNNNNNNNNNNNNNNNNNNNNNNNNNNNNNNNNNNNNNNNNNNNNNNNNNNNNNNNNNNNNNNNNNNNNNNNNNNNNNNNNNNNNNNNNNNNNNNNNNNNNNNNNNNNNNNNNNNNNNNNNNNNNNNNNNNNNNNNNNNNNNNNNNNNNNNNNNNNNNNNNNNNNNNNNNNNNNNNNNNNNNNNNNNNNNNNNNNNNNNNNNNNNNNNNNNNNNNNNNNNNNNNNNNNNNNNNNNNNNNNNNNNNNNNNNNNNNNNNNNNNNNNNNNNNNNNNNNNNNNNNNNNNNNNNNNNNNNNNNNNNNNNNNNNNNNNNNNNNNNNNNNNNNNNNNNNNNNNNNNNNNNNNNNNNNNNNNNNNNNNNNNNNNNNNNNNNNNNNNNNNNNNNNNNNNNNNNNNNNNNNNNNNNNNNNNNNNNNNNNNNNNNNNNNNNNNNNNNNNNNNNNNNNNNNNNNNNNNNNNNNNNNNNNNNNNNNNNNNNNNNNNNNNNNNNNNNNNNNNNNNNNNNNNNNNNNNNNNNNNNNNNNNNNNNNNNNNNNNNNNNNNNNNNNNNNNNNNNNNNNNNNNNNNNNNNNNNNNNNNNNNNNNNNNNNNNNNNNNNNNNNNNNNNNNNNNNNNNNNNNNNNNNNNNNNNNNNNNNNNNNNNNNNNNNNNNNNNNNNNNNNNNNNNNNNNNNNNNNNNNNNNNNNNNNNNNNNNNNNNNNNNNNNNNNNNNNNNNNNNNNNNNNNNNNNNNNNNNNNNNNNNNNNNNNNNNNNNNNNNNNNNNNNNNNNNNNNNNNNNNNNNNNNNNNNNNNNNNNNNNNNNNNNNNNNNNNNNNNNNNNNNNNNNNNNNNNNNNNNNNNNNNNNNNNNNNNNNNNNNNNNNNNNNNNNNNNNNNNNNNNNNNNNNNNNNNNNNNNNNNNNNNNNNNNNNNNNNNNNNNNNNNNNNNNNNNNNNNNNNNNNNNNNNNNNNNNNNNNNNNNNNNNNNNNNNNNNNNNNNNNNNNNNNNNNNNNNNNNNNNNNNNNNNNNNNNNNNNNNNNNNNNNNNNNNNNNNNNNNNNNNNNNNNNNNNNNNNNNNNNNNNNNNNNNNNNNNNNNNNNNNNNNNNNNNNNNNNNNNNNNNNNNNNNNNNNNNNNNNNNNNNNNNNNNNNNNNNNNNNNNNNNNNNNNNNNNNNNNNNNNNNNNNNNNNNNNNNNNNNNNNNNNNNNNNNNNNNNNNNNNNNNNNNNNNNNNNNNNNNNNNNNNNNNNNNNNNNNNNNNNNNNNNNNNNNNNNNNNNNNNNNNNNNNNNNNNNNNNNNNNNNNNNNNNNNNNNNNNNNNNNNNNNNNNNNNNNNNNNNNNNNNNNNNNNNNNNNNNNNNNNNNNNNNNNNNNNNNNNNNNNNNNNNNNNNNNNNNNNNNNNNNNNNNNNNNNNNNNNNNNNNNNNNNNNNNNNNNNNNNNNNNNNNNNNNNNNNNNNNNNNNNNNNNNNNNNNNNNNNNNNNNNNNNNNNNNNNNNNNNNNNNNNNNNNNNNNNNNNNNNNNNNNNNNNNNNNNNNNNNNNNNNNNNNNNNNNNNNNNNNNNNNNNNNNNNNNNNNNNNNNNNNNNNNNNNNNNNNNNNNNNNNNNNNNNNNNNNNNNNNNNNCCAGCAACUCCGAAGAAAGUCGUCGUUUAUGAAACGGAUUCGGAAUAGUUCAAUAAUUAGCUAGAUUUUCCCAAAAAAAUUGAACUUUAUAUUAAUUGAACUAUAACUAAUAUUGUAAUAGUCAAUUAAUUUUUAUCUAAUUAAUUAUAAUUCGAUAAAAAAUUUAAUUUUUAGGAUAAUGUCGAACGUUAUGAAAGUACCCGAUAAAGCUUGGAUGAGUUUAGAUCGGUUUUCGAAAGAAUACGGUGAAGGGUUAACAGCUUUCACUAAUUUCGUCAUUUCGAAUUCGACUCACCCAGAAAGUUAUUUACCUUGUCCAUGCUCGUCCUGCACGAAUAGUGAAGUGAUUCCUAUAGUGAAGUGAUUCCAUGAAGAUCCAGUCGAUGUUGAUCCAGUCGACGAAGAUCCAAAGCAGAGAUAUGACGAUUCGUUCUUACGCCGUCUAAAAGAAGGUGAAGAAAAGUUAUAUCCCGGUUGCACUGAGUUUUCCAAACUAUCUUUUAUCUUGGAAUUGUAUCAGUUGAAAUGCGAUAAUCAUUGGAGUGAUAAAAGUUUUCAGAAAUUAUUAUCCAUCAUGCGUCGUGCUAUUCCAAAUGGGGAGUCAACCAUUCCGAAAACCAUGUACCAUGCGAAAUCGGUAGUUCGUGACCUGGGCCUUAAUUAUACGAAAAUCGAUGCAUGUCGCAACGAUUGUAUUUUAUAUCGAAAUAAAUAUGCAAACGCAGAAAGUUGCCCGAAUUGCGGAACGUGCAGGUGGGUCGUCGAAGGCGUUCAGAAAAACAAACGUGUUCCAGCAAAAUGUCUUCGUCACUUUCCGUUGAUUCCACGUUUGAAGAGAUUGUAUCUAUGUUCCAAAAUUUCUGAAAACAUGAUAUGGCACCAUUCCAAACGUAAAGACGACGGAUUUCUUCGGCAUCCAGCAGAUUCUUUACAAUGGAAGAAAUUUGACGAGGUUCAUCCUAAAUUUGCAUCCGAACCUCGUAAUGUGAGACUUGGUUUUGCAACUGAUGGAUUCAACCCGUUCAGUCAGCAAUCUCUAUCUCAUAGUACUUGGCCAGUGAUAGUUAUACCGUACAACCUUCCACCUUGGAUGUGUAUGAAGCAACCGAAUUUCAUGUUGUCUCUACUAAUUUCCGGUCCGUCAGCUCCAGAGAACUAUAUAGAUGUCUAUCUUCAACCGCAUAUUGAUGAACUAAAGAUUUUAUGAGCAGAUGAUGUUACAGCUUUUGAUGUACGUACGCAGAAAUCUUUUAAGAUGUUUGCAUCACUUCUGUGGACGAUACAUGAUUAUCCAAGAUACGGUGAUAUAUCAGGGUGGAGCACUAAAGGAAAGUUAGCUUGUGCAGUAUGUAAGAAUGACACUGAAAGUAUUCGUUUAGAGCAUGGAAAGAAAGAGAGUUUUAUGGGGCAUCGUCGAUUUCUAGAUAUGAAACAUUAUUAUAGGAGCGAUAAGAAAAGUUUCAAUAAUCAUAUCGAAAUUAGAGUCGCCCCUAAACGUCUGACGGGUUCUGAAAUAUAUAGUCAGGUGUAUCCAUUUCGAGAUUCAGUAACUUUUGGUAAAACAUCGAAUGUACCAAAAGAUUGUAGACCGUCGACGAAAAGAACGAAAAAAAUACCAUUGCCCAAAGGAUGGAAAAAAAUGAGUAUUUUUUCGAAUUACCGUAUUGGAAGACGUUGCUUCUACGACAUAAUAUUGAUGUUAUGCACACCGAAAAGAAUGUGUGUGACAAUAUUUUGAACACUAUUUUGGAAAUGGAUGGUAAAACGAAAGAUAAUUUGAACGCGAGGUUCGAUCUACAAUCGAUGGGAAUCCGAAAAGAACUUCAUCCUAUUCGAUGGGGAGAAGAAUGGGACAUUCCGAGUGCGUGUUUCAACUUAACGACGAAUGAAAAAAUAUUAUUUCUGUCAGUGUUUAAAUCCCUUCGACUUCCCGAUAGAUAUUGUUCUAACAUUUCUAGAAACGUGAAAAUGAAAGAAAGAAAAUUUAUCGGAUUGAAAAGUCACGAUUGUCACGUUAUAAUGCAACAGUUACUUCCUAUUGCAUUACGAAAAUCGACAAAACCUGUAGUGAAUUCGGUUCUCGUUGAACUUUGCGGAUAUUUCCACGAUAUUUGUUCGAAAGUAAUCGAAAUCAAACUUAUGGAACGAUGGGAGAAAAGAAUUAUAUAUACAUUGUGCAAUCUUGAGAAAAUCUUUCCUCCCGGUUUUUUUACUGUAAUGGUUCAUCUGACGGUCCAUCUAGCAACCGAAGUGAAAAUAGCUGGACCGGUCCAAUAUCGAUGGAUGUAUCCGAUAGAGAGGUAUAUAUAUUUAAUUAUACAAUUAUAAAUAAAUUUAUAAUUAAUAUGUCUUGAUCAUACAAUAUAUAUUCUCAUUUUAGGUAUCUUUUGACUCUAAAAAAUCAUGUGACCGUACGUAGUCACCCGGAAGGAUCUAUUGCGGAAAGUUAUCUUGCUGAAGAGUCAAUGACGUUUUGUUCUAGGUUUUUACAAAAUGUCGAGACAAAAUCAAAUCGGCCAGAUAGGUAUAUCGAUGGAUUUUUAAAUGCACCGACUGAUAUAACGUUGACUACUUUACAACAGAAACAGUUGCAUCAAUGUAUAUUGUUUGACCUUGAAAGUGUCGAACCAUAUCGAAAUAAACACUUGAAGCAAUUGAAAGUUAUGUUUCCAAAACACACACAGCUCCGUCUGGAAAAUUUACACUUCAAACAAUUUGCCGAUUGGUUUAAAAAACACAUGUCUGAAGCUCAACAAUAUGACACAGAUUUAAAUUCUAUUUCCCGCGGACCAAGUUGUUUUGCUUCAAUUUAUAGUGGUUACAUUAUGAAUGGUUUAAAAUUUCAGACGUCAGAAUUGACAAAUCGUAGAUCAACGCAAAAUAACGGUAUUUUUCUAUCGGCUACAACAUCAACGUAUGCUAAAUCUCCAAAUGAUGCUCCGUUGGUAGCAGAAAUUGAAUAUCAUGGAUUAUUAGAAAAUGUUUUCGAAAUUUGCUACAGUCACACGACUAAAUAUUGUCUUUUUGAAUGUAAGUGGUACGAUCCUGGAAAAGCAGGUACUAAAGUUGAUGAUUUUGGUGUCGUUUCAGUCAACACGACACGGGGGAAAUUUGGAAAAGAACCUUUCAUUUUGGCAAAUCAGGCUCAACAAUGUUUCUACAUUCAAGAUCCGGUAGAAUCUGAAUGGAGUUCAGUCCUUAAAAUACCAAAUAGAGAUAUUUUCGAUGUUGAUAAUGAUGAUUGUUGUAAUUAAAUUAUAAAGUAUUACAUUACAAUAUAAUUUAAUAUUUUCAAUGUAAUAUCAUGUUGAUUAUAAAUCUUUCUUUUUUUCAGUAAAAAAUGAGUCAACUACUUGCAAUCGUCGAACGAUAUGAACGACUAGGGCGACUUAAUCAGAUUCAACGUAGUUUUUACAAAAACAUAGAUUAUUAUUGUCGUGUUUUUGCUUGUUUCCGUUGCGGAGUCAACGGUCAUCAUUUUCAGAACUAUCCAAAAAUAUGGUCGACAAAUCCUCAAACAAUGGAAACCGGUCAAAUUUUAGUGUUAGGAUACGAGGCUAGAGUGUUGAAUGAUUGUGGUGACACACAUUCAUUCAAAAUCGAAUACAACUCUUCUCACGACGACUUCGAAGAUUUGUUGUGUCUAAUAAUAAAGAAUGUAAAUUACAAUAGGAAAAAUGUUUGGUUGUUGUGUCAGACCAAGACCCCAUAUACGGGUGUCUGGCUAUGUAUUUAAAAUAACUAAUUUUAUUUUCAAAUUUAAAUAUUUCAGAUUAUGUUUACUUUUUUCGUUCUGCUCGGUGUUAUCACACCAUUCAUGGCACUGGCGAUGGUUACAUCCCGUCGCUCUUUUGAAGAGUCCAGUUCAAGUGGUCAGUUUAUUAUUUAUAUUUUAAAUAUUAUCAUUAUUUAUAUAAAAAAUUAAUUCUUAAAUAUUUAAAUUAAUUAGAUGCGAGGUCAUCCACAUCGAAUGUGCCUCCACAGAAGAAGGGUCGUGGUCGGAUCUCCUGAUGUGCUAUUUUAUAUCAUUUGGAAGUAGAGUUCUAUUCGCUUGAUGCUGGCCGGAUCUCCUGAAGGCUCCCAUGGAUAUAGAACAAAACGUCUUUAAAAAGCCUACGACACUAAUUAAAUAUCACCUAGUUCAACACAUAUCUCGCCUACAAUGGUUAAAGCUACUAGGUCAUUUCUUCAAGAGAAUAGGUGAUUUCCACUAGGAAAUUAGGGAUCUUUGGGCAUUUCUUGGAUCUAGCCUAGCCCCUGGUUACACUAUAAAAGGUUACCCCGGCCAAGAGUACAUUUAAGAUAUCAGUUCCACCCAUUCCAGAGUGGCAUAUGUGAAGCAAUCGCCGACUUUACCACUCUAGUUGUCGACUUCAUAUAGAGCACACUUCGUAGACUCACGAGCUUUCGGGCCGGCAAGACGACCACUGGCACCGCCGUGAGUACUGGUAAGAUUCUACGACCCUCAUUAGUUGGUGCCGUCUACUAGCGAAAUCUAAAACUCACGUUAGACAUUUAACAUACCAAGGCUUUAAGGCAAGUUGAUUUCCUUAAUUGUAUAGCUUCGUGCUCAUUCCAUUUGCCCCGAAGCUAAAUCACUAGCACAAUUGCCAUCGAAAUAUCAAUAACAAAUCUUCCCUGAAAUCUACAAUGGUGCUACACAACAUGAAUGCUAACAACUACAAAAAUAUUGCAUAGUCACAAAUAUCUCCACCACCACAACCACGGUCCAGUCGAAUCAAGUUGAAUCAAUCAACCCAAAAAUGUGAAGCUUUAGGUCAUAGAAAUUCAGGCAGUGUUUAAAAAAGUAACCAAGGAGCUAUGGGUGAGCAUGGGUCUGGUCAAACACGAACCGAACAUGUCGGGUCUGGGUUCGGAUGGAUAUUUUCGCCUACGAAACCUGAUCUGAAGGAACCGAACCGGGUGGUUUUUACCCAAUUUUUUCGGGUCGAGUUCGGGUAAGACUCGAACCACGCCCGACUUAACAAAUUUAUAAAAAACACCUUAAAAUAUAAAUAAUUAAUAUAAAUGAAAUGAAAUUUUAUAUAAAACCUUUUAUUAAAUUUUAAUAUAAAUAUAUACACACUUAAUAAAUUUCUCCCUCUUCUUCUAAACCCUAAUUUUAUUUUCAUUUUCCUCUCCUCUCCUCUUCUAUUUUCAUCUUCCCUCUCCCUUUCCUCGCCAGAUUUCCUCACUAUCGUCGGAUGUUCCCUUUCCUUAUCGUAAUGUACUAAUGUAGGAUAUGGAAAUUCAAUGUGGAGCUCCUAGAAAAAAACUAGUUAUGGAUGUAUAAACUAGAUGAAAUUCUAAUUAUGAAAUGCUUCGUACAACAAUACAAUUUAAGGAAGUGAUUAAAAAAAUGGCAAUCGCCGACAUGGCAUUCACUUGUGAGCCUAAUGAGGAUGAUUGAGAGAUGGCAAGUGCACUUGAAAGUUGUUUCAGCUUAUUCUACGAUAUUACCCAAUCAUUUUCAAUGCAAAAUUUCCUAGCAUUGAAUCACUACUUCGCAAUGAUAUAUAAGGUACAUUUAAAAGUUCUCGAUUUUUUGCAAAAGCAACUAUCCUUUGAUUGUUCGAAUAGGGAUACCAAUGUUUGUGAAAUUCAAAAAUAUUGGGAACAAGUGAACGGUCCAUUGGGAAUAGCAAUAAUUUUUGGUCCUCAUUGUAAAUAACAAACAAACUAACUAACUUACUCUAAAAUAAUUUUGGAUUUUAUCUUUCUAUUGAAUAUUAAUCUCUGGGUUAGGUAUUAUAUGAAUAAGUUAUACAGAAGUUGCAAAAGUCUAUGUAGAAGACAUCAAAGAAUGUGUUCGAUAUAUGUAUACCGAAUAUGAUUUGAAAUUUCGUAUAUAUGAAGAAAUACCACUAGGUAAUUUUUAUUAACUUUCACAUUUUAUGAACUAAUUUUCAACAUAAAUAAUUUUUUAUUCGGUAACGUUUUACAUAUUUAUAUAGGACAGAGUGGUGCUACUUUCGUACCUGAAGUUUUUCAACUAACAGACAAUACAGAGAUGGAAAUAUAAUAAUUUUGACAGAAGAUUAUGGUACUUCUUCUAUAUAUUCAGUCUGAUGUUUCUAUCUAUACAUCAGUUUUUCUUCUUUACAUGGUAACAGAGCGUUUGCGAUUUAGGGAUUUCAAAACUUCCGGGAAUUUUUUUUUGUGGUAGUGAUUGUCAUCAGCAAGGUAGCAAAUGGCAGCAAGAGGCUCUUUGUUUGACACAACAAAUCAGAACAUUACGAUUCUUGUAUCGGAAGGCACAUUACAGGCAAGAACAAGAAGGGAGAUCCCUCAGAUGAUGUAUUCUAUAGCGUCAUUGUGUCCGACUCCGCUUGCUGAAGGUAACUUUCUUGUCUGGAAAAAUCAGUUCGAAGGGGCUCUUAAAAUUCAUGGUCUGAUGGAAUAUGUGUCGGGUGAGUUUCCUGUUCCUGAGGAAAAAUUGGAAGAUGGCUCAGAUAAUCCAGAUUUUGAAAUUCAUAUAAGGAAUGAUGGGAUCGUUCUUAGCUGGAUCAAGGCCACAGUUAGUCAAGAGAUUCAACCGUUGUUACUUCCUUGUAAAACAGCCUUUGAGGCAUGGAGAAUGCUUGAAGAAGAUAUUUCACCAAUAGAUAAGAAUUCAAUCAAAUCGCUUAGGGAUGAGAUGAAUUCUCUUAGAAAAACUUCCAACAUCACAAUGAAGGAAUACGUGCUCAAAUUCAAGGCCUUGAAACACUCUUUAGAGGCAGCUGGCUACAAGAUAAAUGAUGACAGAGUAACUGAAUAUAUUCUAAGAGGAUUGGUCUAGAAUUCAGAAUUUCAGAACUACACUCAAUCAGAGGGAGUCGACUUCCUUUGCUCAAUUGGCAGAUCUUCUAGUCAAGGAGGACAUCCUAAUGAAGGAACUUGAUAAAACAACUUCUGAGGAUAGCUUUCAGGUUAAUUACUCUAAUUUUCAUAAAAAAUAUUAUCAAAAUACUAGGUUUCCCCGAGGAGGCAGAUCUGGUGGAUAUUAUAAUUCGAACUAUUCAAGACCUAAGCAAGGACCUCAUGUUGUAACUAUUCCUUCUCCUUUAAAUAAAAAUAGUCUUCCUCCUAUUUUAAAAAUACCCUCAUCCCAAGAUUUGGCUGUGGCAUGCCAAAUAUGCGACAAAAAAGGGCAUCUGGCCAGGAGUUGUCCAGAUAGAGGCAAUUUUGCUGCCUACAAUAUAGAAGGGUCUGAAAAUAAUGAUAAAGAAGAGGAAGGUGUUCAAGCCAAUUUAAUUUCAGUACAAGACUUGGAUUGGUGUCUUGAUUCCGGAGCUACCAACCAUAUGGUAGGAGAGGAGGCUAUGCUACAUGAUCUGGAGGAUUACCAAGGUACUGGAGGAGUAGUAAUAGGAAAUGGUGAUAAGUUAAAAAUAACAAAAAUUGGAAAAUUAGCCUUUAGAGUAAAUAAUAAUAAUUUUUUACUCAAAAAAGUCCUAUUAGUACCCAAACUAAAGAAAAAUUUAGUUUCUACUACAAAAUUAUGUUGUGAUCUUGAUUGUUUUAUAUUGGUCACACAGAGGGAUUUUAUGGUGAAGAGCAGGGAGACCCAACAGACGCUUUUUUCUGGGAUUAAUAAAAAUGGGCUCUACUACUUCACACCUGAGAUAUCAUGCAAUAUUGGAGUCAAGACUGGACUGGAUAGGUGGCAUAGGAGGCUUGGUCACCCCUCAUUGAAGAUUGGAAAAAUUAGGAGAUGAUAUAUGUGUAGAAAAAAUAGAUAGGAAAUGUUUGUCCUUUUGUAAUAAUUGCCCGAUGGCAAAAAUGAGUAAACUGCAAUUUAAAUACAGUGAAUUUAGAUCUGAAAAAUGCUUGAAUCUUCUUCAUAUUGAUCUAUGGGGCCCAGCUCCAACUAUCUCUAGAUUAAAUUUUAAAUAUUUUGCAACCAUAGUAGAUAAUAAAAGUAGGUACACUUGGAUAAUUCCCCUACACAACAAGAGUGAAUUUAUCUCUAUGUUUAUAAAAUUCCAAACAAGCAUUGAAAAUCAGCUUGAAACAAAAAUAAAGACAAUUCAAACCGAUGAGGGUGGUGAAUUCACAAGUAAUGAAUUUAAAAAAUAAUUGGCUAAAAAAGGGAUCACUCAUAGGUUCUCAUGCCCAUACACUCCCCAACAGAAUGGAAUUGUGGAAAGAAAACAUAGACACCUUCUUGAAACAUGAAGGUGCAUGUUUUCUCCUUCAGGGGUACCUAAAACACUAUGGCCUGAGGUGAUUAGCACAACCUGUUUUUUAAUUAACAGGCUGCCUAGUUCAGUAUUAGGCAAUCUUUCACCCUAUGAAGUUCUAACAAAAAGGAAACCAGAUUAUAAAAAUUUAAAGGAAUUUGGGUGUGCAUGUUUUCCCUUACUAGCUAAAGGUCUAAGAAAUAAAUUUGAACCCACAGCACACAAGUGUGUGUUUAUGGGAUAUUCAAAUGAACAUAAAGGUUAUAAAUGUUAUAAUCCAGAAAAUGGGAAAAUACUAGUGUCAAGGAAUGUGAAAUUCAAUGAACUAGAAUUCCCAUUUUUAGCAAAAGAAAACAAGGAAAUAAGCAAGAAAAAAGAAAUGGCAAAGUCAACAACAUGUUCCAUUAUAUUACCCGCAAUGACAAUAGGAAAAGAAAUAACCCAAGGGAACAACAAUUUAAUACAACAAGGAAAUAGAUCUGAGAGUAGAAUAAACAGUAAUUCUAGAACAACCACUGAAAUUCGAACAACAAGAGAAACACCAAUACAGUGCAAUGGUUCUGGAAACUCAGUGAAUAUAGAAGAUCUCUCUUCUCAACUUCAGAACUUAAGCAUUAGUGGCAGUCAACCUGAAGUGACUAAAACUCAAAGGUAUCCUACUAGAGUAAAACAACCUUCUGUGUUACUCAAAGACUAUGAAUGCUCCUAUUCAGAACUAGACAGUGAUGAACCAACUUCAUUUAGUCAGGCAAACAAAGAUGAAAAAUGGAGGGAAGCAAUGGUAGAAGAGAUGAAUGCUCUCAAAAUAAAUGAUACAUGGAGUCUAGUUCCUCAAACGAGUGAUAUGAACAUUGUGGGAUGCAAAUGGGUGUUCAAAAUAAAAAAGAAGGCAGAUGGAACCCUAGAAAGAUAUAAGGCAAGGUUAGUUGCUAAAGGAUAUAACCAGGAAGAAGGGGUGGAUAUAACCAGGAAAAAGGGCCGUAUUCAUCUUUCAUAGCCGUCCUCCACCCUGGAUGUUGCAAAGCCUGUUUAGUCGUCCUCGGUAUGCCGACCUGUUCGAUUGUUGUUAUUAGGCCAUACCUUGGAUUUGGUUUGACUAUCCCGUGCGAUGCCCUUGUUGCCAUUUUCGUAUCCACAAUUUGGGCGACUUCGGUGUCUUCGGUACUUUCGAUUUGUUCUCCGGUGACUUCCGUUUCUUCUUCAUUUUCUUCGAAGUCGUAGGUAGUUUCUCAGCUGGAUCAUUCGAACUAUUUGCUUGGCUUUGGGAGACGGAUUUGUGACCGUUCUGUUGCUGUACCGGAUCCACUCGAUCUUGAUUUACUGAUUUUGAUUCCUCGGGUACCUGUUCCCGAUCUUUUGGAGUUUGGGUGUUGAUUUGUCGUCCUUCCGACUCUUCUUCGACUUCGGGAAUUGGAUUGGUUAAGUUGAGUAGUGGAUCUAGGCUCAUCGCUGAAACCGUUGCUUCUGUUUGACUAGUGUCAAGGAUUCCAGAUCUGCCGACGAGACGGUGACGUGGCUCUCCGAUCUCGGGUUCUUGUUGGAAUACAGAAAUUCAUUUAAUGAAAAAUCAUUUUCAAUGAAUUUAACGUUUUUGGAUAUAUAGAUUUUGUUUUCUUCUGGACUGUAGCAGAGAAAUCCAUCAUUUUGUUAGGGAUAUCCGAUGAAAACACAAGGUAUUGAUUUGUCAUCAAGUUUAUCAUGCACGGGUAACAUUUGCUUCCAAAUAUUCGUAGUUUAUCAUAGUCUGGAGCUUGCCCGAAUAACGCUUCCAUUGGGAAAAUACCGUGAAGAAUUCUUGUUGGAUUCUUGUUGUACAAAGUGGCUGCCAUUAACACUGCAUAAUUCCAAAAUUUCUUGGGCAUCUUAGCAAAGUGGAGCAUAGUUAAAGCUGUAUCGACUAAGUGUCGAUGUCGUCUUUCAACUGUUCCCAUUUGGGGUGAUCAUAGGGGCAGGAAAAUCUGUGAUUAAUUCCGAAUUGAUCAAAAACUUUAAUCAAGACUUUGAAUUCUUUAGCGUUGUCGGUUUGUAUUGAUUUGAUUUUCAAACCGGUUUGUUUUUAACCCAUAUUUUGAAUUUAGAGAAUAUCUCGGAAACUUCGGAUUUCUUGAUUAACGGAAAAACUCAAUUGUAAUUUGUAGAUGCGUCGACAAAAUUCAAAUAAAACUUGUAACCACCAACCGAUUCUACCGGCGUCGGUCCCCCAUAUAUAAACAUACAAGGAACAUCGAACUUGAACUUCACGAACCCUUUUAAAAGAGCCAAUGAUAACAAGCGAGUAAAAUACAAUUUUGAUAAUUAAAAUGGAAUAGACAGACAGAGUCAUAUAACUAACUAUAUAAGAAAUACAAACUAACCACCAGUCAACAUACAAGACUAACUAUAUAAGGAGGAUCAAAACUCCAGUGUGAGAAUUAAGGAUGACGAGAAAUGAAAAAAGGCAAAACAGAACUUAAUUCACACUUAGCAGACAACCCAUUAAACAAGUUUAUUGAAACCAACACAACAAUUCUGAAUGAUAAAGCAUUCUGCUGCUUAUCAAUCAACUAUAAUUGAUUAGAGAAUGGAGCAACCGGCUCUUUCCUCGGCAGGAGUUGUUGCUCUGUGCUGUCUGUUGUUUGGAUCAGAUGAGUUAUAAGCGAACUCCGAAGUGUCAAGACCAUACUGUUUCAUCAUUUUAAAAAUAGAAGUUUUGAAUGUGAGACAAUGUUUGCCUAGCAGCUUUUUAAUUUUGAAUCGUCUAAAAAGAAUUGAAUAUACAUUUUCUCUCAUCCUUGUGCUCCAGGCAUCACUCCUGAUUGGACGCUGAUUAAUAUUGGAAGCCACAGGUGCACCAGUCACGGUAGGAAAUUGUCUGUUGAUCAGUGGUUGUCGGAAAGGUCUUGGGGCUAGAUACUCAUCAUCACUAUCGUAAUCUGCCGGCAUAUUUGCUGCCCUCACAAUGAGUGCAAGGAAAAACAGACAAAAUGUUGGUGGAAAAGCAUAAAUAAUUUCAAAAUCUGAAUACCAAAACAAGAGAUAGGAAGCUAUAAAUUGUAAUUUAUGAGCAGUAUUGUUUAAAUUAUAAACGACACACAUAUAUAACCACAUGGCAACUACCUAAUUAUGGAUUUGUAUGAUAGGCAACAAGGAAUAACAGUUUGAAUCAGAUCACUAAAACUGAAAAGAAUAAAUUAUUCGAAUAACAAAGUAUCUGAAAAUUAGAAAUAUACUGAGCAUAAGCAUAUAACAAAAACCUGUAAUGCGACAAUUCCCAAAGCAGCCCAUCUUAUAAAAUCCCAAUUGUCGUCCAAAAAAUCAUAAAUUUUUUCAAAGUUUCCUGUUUUGUCUUUUUGAAUGAACUCCAAAGAAAGAGUUAUAUGUACUGUUAUAUACAAGAAAAAGUAAGAAAGUAAAUUAACUUAAGAGAAAGAAGUCAAUGAAACAUACGGAAAAUAUAAUUAAUUUUUCUACUUACAUCUUCCCAGUCUUCCUUGAAAAAAAUGAAAGCUGCACAUCCUGAUUCCACUAGAAUCAACAAAACCACCAAAAAUGCAUACUAUGAUAGUUUAAGGAAAAUACUAGCAAGUUGAAUAGCAACUGAUGUGAUGAUAGUUAGUACUUUCUUUAUCUAACCAAUGAUAGGUUGAGAACUAAAUAUCCAAAGUGGGAACAGCUUUGAUUAAAAAUAUAAUAGGGAAAUGAGUAAAGUCAUCCUCAACUUCUUAUGCUUAUAAAGCUUUCCUAUGUGUCUGCAUAUGCUAACAUAAUAUAGUAAGUAUAAAUCUGAGGACCAUACAAAAUAUUAAGAGAACCAGGUCAUGAUUUGCCAAAUCUACCCAAACAUUCUAAAUAAAAUCACAAUUUUCUCCGAAUUUACGAUUUCUGAUGUCAGCAACUAGAUUGACUGACAAACUCCUGGAAUUUUAUUCAGAUCCACUUAAAUAGAAAGAAGCUAAUUAGAUUUCUAGUCGUCAAAUGAUAAUCAUUAUGGUUUCUUCUGAUAAUCAUUCCUCCAAAAACCGUUGUAGUUUCUUGACAUUCACUACCUAAACAAUGUAGCAGAAUAUUAUAUAAAAUGUUUGCUAAAUAGGUUAAAUGAAAGAAUGGAUAAGAAUAACCAUCGCAAAAAUCUGCAAAUGCUGGCUGUAUAAUAUAUACCCACAUAGGAAAGCCCGAUAUGCAUGAGUAAACCAAUUAAAGUGCCCUAAGAGGAUUAGACUUCAAUACUAUAAUUGCUUUGACCUCAAUUUGAUUUUUAUUUGCCUUUAAAAAAGGAAGAAUUGAAAAAAAUACUGACACAUUUAGCCCCUCUACUGUCACAAUUUCUAAAUCACAUGAAUCUAAAAGUUUGGUUAUUUAACUGAAUUUUUAAAAUCAUCUAACUAUAUUUUCAAUUUUGAGAAUUAUGGUAGAUGCAUCAAGUGUGCUUGAUUGUGAAACAUUUUGAGGAAUUACAGCAUUAACAUGAAAUAUAAAAGAAUUAAAAAAACAUAAAUAAAUGCAUAGUUUCAAUAAAUAACAGGAUACACAGGAAAGACAGCAUCCACUUCUUGCUAAAACUUCGAUACAUCCACAGCAGGAUAUGACAAAUUACAAGAGCACCAACACCGAUAAACAAGUAGAGGAACAUACAAAGAGUAAUUUACUUAAGAGAAAUAAUGUUUCUAACAUAAAAGAAGAUGAAUGUGUAACUUAUGAUGGAAGGCAUAAAAGAAGAAAGAUUUUAGAAGAACCUACAAAAUUCAACUUCAGCGGCGACAAAUAAUAAUGCCUACACAGCAUUUGUGAAAUGUUAGUAGAAGUAUGGCUGUGCAUUUUUUGUAAAGAGGAUAGAUGAAAGCAAUCAAACAAAAUAUAUCUGGAAAAAAUCAGAAUCAUGGUAAUAAUAACAAAUUUGUAUGAGAUGGCGGUAUAUUUUCAAUAAACAACUAUAACACGGAUGAGACCAGCUAUUUUUUUUUAAGAGAUUUAGAAAAACCACAAGGAAAAUAAGACACAGAGAUACCUUGGCAAGGGAGAUAUCUUUGUUUUUGAAACUUAAUGAAAUUUCUUAUGUGAAUUUAUCCCAUGCAUGUUUAACGAUCUGCAACAAGUAAUUUCAUUAGAAAUAUAAGAAGGAACGGUAAAAAAACAAAACAAAGAAACGAAUGGCCAUAAUAGCAAACAUGUCUGUGAGAAGAAUGAACAUGCCUGCUUUUUCCAAAUUGUUGUCUCAGCACAACCUUUUCCAUUAUGACUUCAGUCUUCAAGUGUGCACUGUAAAAAUAAACAUGGAUAAAAAACUAGGUCUUUUAAUAGAAUUUGUUCUCUUAUCUAAGGGAAUGAAUAGAACUAAAAAGUAACAAUGAGAAAAAUACCUGCAGUUGUGAUAAAUAUUCUCCAGAUUCAAACUCAAAAGUUAAUUCUACACACUACAAUAUUUGCAUUACAAAGUGCAAAACUAGUACUUUUUCAAAAUGAUAUUCAAUAUUUUUUUGUGAAAUCCAAUUUCCUCAAUAAAAACAACCAAGCAUAUAUGGAAGUCAUAAGUUACACUUAAAUUGAUCACAUAUAGCAUAACCAAUUACAUAUCGAUGCAUUAAGAUCAAGCAAGUUAUAAUUUUAAUAGUGUUAUACAUCUUUAUUCCAUUGGGAAAUUUCAUAAGUAAAUCGACAAAUAUUACGCAAAAUAUGUCAUCACCAGCAUAAAUUUUGUAUACUUUUUCUUGAUCCUCAUCUGUCCAGCUACUCUGAUUGAUCAACUAUAUAAUAAAAACAAAAUAAAAUCAGUCUAUAAUAAAAUAAAUCUAUAAUAAGAUAAAAUAAAAUUAGCAUAUUUUAAAUAAACAUACAUUAAAAAUUUCAGGAUGAGCAUCCAUAUUUCUAAUAAAUGCUAUCAAGUCUCUAUAAUUGUCUUGAUAAGAACGGUUACGUCGAAAGCUAUUAACUUUUCUAAAUAAUUCAUGAUUGACAUUGCUAAUUCAUGUUUUCUUUAUAUCAUGGAAACAGUCAGAUAUAUACCUAACUCUGUAAAAAUAAAAAUAAAAGAAUUGAUAUUAGUUUAAAAGUUCAACAAAUAUAUUAUAUUCUAUUAUUAAUUUAAAAUACCUAUAUUCAUGACCAUAUAUCUUAAAAUGUUCAUUCAACUUUUUCAAAGUCUUCACUUUUUUUGUAUGUGACCACAAUGUUGGAUGAUUUGAAAGAACAUGGAAUAUUCUACAAUUAAAAAUAAAUAUUAUAUGAAUAUUUCAUUUUUAAUAUAUAAUAUAAAUUAAAAAUAAAUAACUUACGAGUUACAUUUUUUUAUGCUUCCAAAGAAAUGUGUAAAAGAACUUCCAUAUUCUUGUAAUGACAACCGUCGAUGAGCAUACAAAUCAGAGAAAAAUUCAUCUAACAUUGGUAUAAAUUCGUCUAACAUUGGUAUCAUUUGAGAUAAAUUCUAAUUUUAAAAAUCAAACUAUCAAGAUCAAACUAUAAUAAAAUUAUAAAAUAAAAAAUAUACCUUUAAAUUUUAAAUCCAUAUUUCUAAUAAACGUUAUCAAGUUUUUAUAAUUGUCCUGAUAAGAACGGUUACGUGGAAAGCUAUUAACUUCUCUAAAUAAUUCACAAUUGACAUUGCCGAUCCAUGUUUUCUUUAUAGCACGGAAAUAGUCAGAUAUAUACCUAACUCUGUAAAAAUCAUAGUCAGAUAUAUACCUAGGCGUCGCAUAGGCGGUCAUGCGCUCCAGGUCGGAUCCGCCUAACUCAAUAACCCAUUUAAAUGACUUAAGUCAUUUAAAUAAGAGGGUGAGGGUUUAAAAAACCUUAACUCCUCUCUUAUUUCUUCUUUCUUCCUCUUUUCUUCCCUUCCCUCCUACAUUUGAACCCCAAACCCUAGAUUUUCAGAUCAUUUCCCCCAUUCAUUUUCUCCGGCCAUCUUCUAGGGAGACUUCGGCCACCACAAGGGAACACUCCGGCGACCUCCACACGUGCUCCGGCGAAGUCCAGGCAUGCUCCGGCGACCCUCCGGCCAUCGUCGACCUAGGUAUUUUUUGUCCCAAAUUUUUUUCCUAUGUGCCCUCUAUCUGUCCAAACCUAUAUCUCACUCCGGACAGUCAUAAAUCGCACUCCGGCACUCUUAAAGAACACUCCGGCGAUCACUUAAAAAAACACUCCGGACAGCAAUUAAUUUACCUCUGUCCAGCCACAUUAAAAUCACUCCGGGCAGCAAUUUAAUCACUCCGGACAGCAAUUUUACAUUAGAUUUUUGAAGGUAAAAACCUAAUAUUUAAAUUGUAAAUUUAUUUUACAAUUUACAUACCUAAAAUCUAACUUAGAUUGUUGGAUUGUAUUUAUUUUUAAAAUUUUCAGAAAUGUCGGAUGAUGAAGAAUACGUUCCUCCCUCAAACGAAGAACAAAUAGAGGAAAACAAAGUGAAGUGGCACUCUUCUUUUUCCGAAGAGACGAUUAAUAACAAGGCGAAUCGACCGAAAUCCGAUGAUACCGGAUGGAAAUACGGUUUCAUGGAAGAUCGAACAAAUCAAAACAAUGUUCGAUGUCUUCUAUGUAACUUUCUUUCCAAGGGUGGAAUAGGUCGGUUGAAGGGUCAUCUGACGGGAGGAGACAAGAACUGUAUCAAAUGUCCAAAUGCCUCGAGAUUUGUCUCAAAGGAGAUUGCGGACUAUGUCUCCAAGAAGAAAUUAGCGGCUAGCAAACGCAAGGACAAGCUACCAUUUAUUCCAGAGGUUGAUGCCAUCGAUUUAGAUGACCCUAGCAAUGAGCGAACAUUGAAGAGGAAGUUGACGGUCUCCGGUUUCGUUUCAUCGUCUCCAACCUCCUCCGUACUUGGUCCAUUAAAUUUGAAGAAAGGGAAAACUAUUCAUGAUAUCGUCCGGAAAAGGAAGAUCGAGAAACAGAAAUCCAUCGUCGAAAUUGCCAAAAAAGAAGACAAAAAAAUGGUCGAUCAUAUCUUCUCAGGUUGGAUGUACGCAGUAGCUAUGCCAUUCAACCAAGCUCAACAUAUUGAAUGCUUAACGACUUGUGAAGUCAUUGGACGAUAUGGUCCUGCAUACCGGCCUCCAAAUAUGACUCAGUUGCGAGAGUCUUGUCUAGAAAGACUUGUGGGUGAUAUCGAUGCGAUGAGAGCCAGGCACGAGAUAAAGUGGAAAACCAAUGGUUGUACUUUAUUGUCUGAUGGAUGGACAGAUGCCAGAGGAAGAAACCUAAUGAACUUCUUGGUGAAUUCGACCGAAGGAUCGUUCUAUCUUUAUUCCAUAGACACCACUCAUGAAAGAAAUACAGCUUCUUACAUUGCCAAGGCAUUAGAUAAAGCUAUGCAAGUCAUCGGCCCGAGUAGUGUGGUUCAGAUAUGUACAGAUAAUGCGGCGAACUAUGUUAGUGCCGGUGAAAUAUUGAUGAACAAGUACGACCAUUUAUUCUGGACACCGUGCGUAGCUCAUUGCUUGGAUCUGAUUUUGGAGGACAUUGGGAAACUGCCAAAGUACAAGAAGAUGAUUUCUGAUGGUCGCAAGAUAGCGACCUACAUCUAUGCCCAUGGUGUUCUCCAUAGCAUUUUCUUGACCAUAUCAGGUGGGAAAGAGUUGGUGAGAUGCGGAGUCACAAGAUUCGCAACGUCUUUUCUCACAUUACAAAGUUUGAAAGAACAGAGGGAAAAUUUGAAGAAGAUUGAUUGGCUACCAUGGGCUAAUGUGACUUGUGGAAGUGAAGUGCAAAAAUUAGUCUGGACCAACUCUUUCUGGUUGAGCCUAUACGAGUGUUUGGCCGUUUCUGAACCUCUAGUGAGGUUGCUGAGAUUAGUUGACCAAGAUGACAAACCAUGCAUGGGCAGAGUUCUGAAUGACUUGAAGAUGGCAAGGAAGCACACUAGAGAUAUGUUGAAAGACAAGAAUCUGUCAUUGCUAACCCAAAUUGACAAGAUCUUCGAUAAGAGUAGGUUUGCUGAAAUGCUUCUCCCAACGCUUAACCCGGAUUUCGGUCGAUUCGACAAGAUCCGACCCGGAUCCGCCUAACCCGCUCCAGCGCAUGAAGGCAAAUGCCUACAUGCGUUGGAGCGCAUGACCGCCUAGGCGUCGCAUGAAAAACUAUGGUCAUGACCAUCGACCACCGCAUGAACACAUGAAAAAGCUUGGUAAAAAUCAAGGUUUAAAAACCGACGGUUAACCGGCUGACCGGUAAAAAAUUAAAAACCGGUGGCCGGUUAAUUGGGACGGGUAAAUGGGUUGAUGGGUCGGGUCUUACCCGAACCCAACCCGAAUACCCAACCCGGUUUCAAUAAAAUAAUAUUUAUUUAAUCUGUUUUAAUUUGUUUUUUUUAAAGACUUCAUUUAAUAAAGCCCAUUACGUUUUAUUAAUAAGUUAUUUUAAGGCCUCAUUUAAAGGCCUUAUUUUAAUAAGUUUAAAUUUUAUAAGCCUCUCCUUAUAAGUUAUUAGACCUCAUUUGAAUUACUAUUUUGAAUGACUAUUUUGAAUUACUAUAUUGUUUAUGAUAUUUUUAUUUAUAUAAACAGGGAUAUAAACAUGGAUAUAAACAUGGAAUAGAUAUAUAAGUAUAUAACAGAAUUUCUGUUUUAAAAAAAAAAUUACGAAAAUACCCCUAUCGGUUAACCAGUGGUCUAACCGGUAAGCCAGAACCGAUUACCGGUUAAACGGUUUUUAAACCUUGGUAAAAAUAAAGAUAAAAGAAUUGAUAUUAGUUUAAAAGUUCAACAAAUAUAUUAUAUUCUAUUAUUAAUUUAAAAUACCUAUAUUCAUGACCAUAUAUCUUAAAAUGUUCAUUCAACCUUUUCAAAGUCUUCACAUUUUUGUAUGUGACCACAAUGUUCAAAACAUUGAAUAUUCUGCAAUUAAAAAUAAAUAUUAUAUGAAUAUUUCAUUUUUAAUAUAUAAUAUAAACUAAAAAUAAAUGACUUACGAGUUAAAUUUAUUUAAGCUUCCAAAGAAAUGUGUAAAAGAGCUUCCAUAUUCUUGUAAUGACAACCGUCGAUGAGCACACAAAUCAGAGAAAAAUUCAUCUAAUAUUGGUAUAAAAUCAUCUGUAUCAUUUGAGAUAAAUUCUAAUUUUAAAAAUCAAACUAUCAAAAUCAAACUAUAAUGAAACUAUAAAAUAAAAAAUAUACCUUUAAAUUUUAAAUUCAUUGUUGACGAUAACGUUGUAAUAUAAAAAGUCCCUUUUUGACGAAAAUAGAAUUUGUUGUAAGCUUAAUCGGGAACAUUUCAUUACUUUCAGAGCGAGAUAAUCCAUUGAAAAUAUUUCUAUAUAAAAAAAAUCGAUUAAAAAAAAUUAACGUUAUAUAAAAUUAUGUAAUAAAAUACCUUAAUAUUUCACUCAAUGCGUUAUAAUAUGCAUCUUUUACUUCUUUCAGCUCUUCUAUAUAUCUGUAUAGGGUUAUUGUUUUUGGAUAUAUAACAUAAGUAAUACAUUUAUGCACGAAUGUAUCAAAUACUAAUAGACAGUUUUUCAUAUAAAAAAAUUGUUCAGAAGUAGAUAUUUUUAUACCAUCGAUAUUUUUUAAUAUAUAUCACUGAAAUACUCCGACUUCCGCAUUUUCAGUUAUAAGAAGAGUUGAAUAAACAUAAGCUGAAGCUGUUUGACAUAAAUACAUGGCAUUAACCUAAAUAUAGAUUUAAAUAUGGAAAUAAUAAUAAAUAUAUAAAAUAACUAAAAAAAUCUAUUUUUUUAUUUUUUUUGAGAAAUUAAAACUUUCAUUACUGAAAAGAGGUUGAGUAUGGCCCAAGAUUACAGAAUAAUAUAGGGCAAUGCAAGUACAGUAAAUGUAAAAAUAUUGUCCAUCUCUUAUGCAGCUAUGACCUUGACUAACUGGCCAAGGAUUGAAGCUUCAAGAGGUUGGACUCCCAUGAGCGUAUAGCUUGUAUUUCAAUCUGUGAAAGAUUGUGCUUUUUAUAAGAUGUAGAAUCAUAUGUAAUGCUCGCAUCCUUUAUAAUUUCUCUGCUGACAAUUUCUGGAGGCCUUAGGGUGUGUUGUUUUAAUCUUCUAUUCCUUUCACACCAUAUGUGUCAGGAAAGAGAUGCUAGCAUAGUCCAGUGUACCCCCGAACAACUGGACUUGUGGGUGAAUUUUUGUAUUGUUUUCAUAAUAUCCCCUAUCCUAAUAUCUAUUGUGGGAGGUGGGGAAUUUUACCCAUUAAGUGUCCAAACAACAUUGUUAAACCAGCUAGUGGUCUCUAGUGUAAUGGCAGUUAAAGUAUAGGUGUUGUAAUGUUUCUUCCUCAUUUCCACAUAGUGGGCAGGACGUAUUUAUGUUGAGUCCCCACCUUUGCAGUCUAGUUAAAGUGUUCAAACUCUUGACCUUAAUUCUCCACAACAGCAUAAAAAAAUUUGGAGGCUUUUUGGCCCAGGUCCCUAGAUUUAUCUCUUGUAAGAUGCCUUUGGGCCUUAAUGUUUCUGAGUGCAUGGAGGAGGCAAUUUGUGUGACCCUAUAGUUACUCAAGCAGUUUAUACAUUUCCUUAUUGUUUCCUUAUUAGCUAGUAUAGUUUUCCACAUGUGUGAGUCCAGAGUAGGCCUACACUCUAUGUCCCCAAUGCUUCUUCCUUUGAUGUACCUAAUUUUUACCCAGUCUGCUAGUAUGGAGUUAUUAGGACUCCACAUCCUCUCUGUUUUUUUAACCAAAGCUGCAGCAUUAGUUGCAAAGAAAUCCCUGGCCCCUAUUCCGCCUUCGAUCUUUGGGAGUGCCAUUUUUGCCCAACUACUCCCUCUUCUCUCGUCCCAAAUGAAAUUGUAAGCUAGGCUCUGGAUCUUUUUAAUGACUGUACAUGGCAGUGUGGUUCCGUUUACCCAGUAUUGAAACUUACCUUGUAGGACCCAAUUUACUAAUUGGGUUCUGCCUGCGUAAGACAGACAUCUCCCUUUCCAUCUAGCUAACAUUUUUUCUAUUGGAUUUAUUAACUUCCAACAUGUCGCGUGAGAUUUCUUUCUUCCUGUUAUUGGAAGACCAAGAUAGUUGAUAGGGAAGGGUUUAGUUGGAAAGUUGAGAAUGUUAUGCAGAUAAUGAUCAUUCAUGCAUACUUUUGAGUAGGUUGCCGAGCUCUUCUCCUGAUUAAUCUCGAGGCCUGAGAAUUUGGAAAAAGUCUCUAGGAUUUUCUUGAUUGUUUCUAAAGACUUGGGAUUUGCUUUUGAGAAGAUCAACACAUUAUCCGCGUACAUGAGAUGCGAGAUGGAAACCACUCCAUUCACGAUAUAAGUAUCCAUCCUUUUAUCUUUGAUCUCUCUCUAUUAGUCUACUAAGAUUAUCCAUUAUCAGGUCGAAUAAGAUAAGAGACAAUGGAUCCCCCUGCCUGAUUCCUCUAAAGUUAGUGAAGGGGGGAGUGGGAGAUCCCUCCACCAGUACCGAAAAGGAGGCUGUGGAUAUACAGUUAUGUACCAAUUUGCACAACAGAGGGUUGAAUCCCAUUGUGUCAAGGGUGUGUGUGAUUGCUUGCCAUUUCACUGUAUCGAAUGCCUUUUUGAGAUCUAUACUUAAACAACAUCUUUUGGGGGUUCUAAUUCUCCCAAAGCCAUGUACCAUCUCGUCUGCCAAGAUAAUGUUAUCUGAGAUGCUUCUUCCUGCUAUGAAAGUUGUUUGGUGAUGAGAUAUUAACUCGGAAGAGACCUUGGAGAUCCUACCAGCCAAGAUUUUGGUGAGAAGUUUAUAAAUUAAGUUGACACAGGAGAUUGGCCUAAAAUCCGAUAAUUCGGUAGUUGUGGGUUUUUUUGGGAUAAGAGUGAUAAAUGUGUGAUUAAUUGACUUCAAUAUGGGUUUGCCGCUGAAGAACUGUCUGACACAAGCUAGGAUUGUUUGCUUUAGUUCCGGCCAGAGAGCUUUGAAGAAACCCACUGUGAAACCAUCAGGUCCUGGGGAUUUCCCCAUUUGAAAUGCGAACAAGGUGGAUUUGACUUCCUCUUCUGUGGGUUGUUGAGUCAACCAUAUGUUCAUAUCUUGAGAUACAAUCCUAGGGAAAAUAACGGGAGAUGGUAUAUCUGGGAAGGGAGAACUCUUGUAGAUAUCCUUAAAGUAAUCCAUACUCCUUUUUUCUAAUUGGGCUCUUGAGAUAACUACCCUACCCUUUCCAUUUAUUAAUUUUAGAGUUGAGUUCUUUGCCUUCCUUAUCUUUGUAGCAAGACUAAAGAACUUAGUGUUUGAGUCUCCUAAUCUAAGCCAGCUGACCUUGCUCCUUUGUUUUUGGUUAGCCUCCUUUAUUUUGAGUUUAUUGACUAACUCCUCCGGCUUCUUUUUGACCUCUUCUUGGAUAGAAGGAACUAUUGGGCUAGUGUUUAGUUGCUUCACCAAGGAAUCAAGUUCCUCCUUAGUGGUUGUGAUCUGUUUUGCAUCACUACCCUUGGUCGCCGUCCAUUCCUUUGCGAGUAUUUUGACCUCCUUUAAUUUCUGUUGUAGGCAAUAUAGCCCAUUGCCGCAAAUUGGUUUAGCUAGUCCUCUCCUGGCUAGAUCGAGAAACUCUUGCUCCUUCAACCAUGAAUCGAACAAUCUGAAAGGCUUUGGUUUCUGUGCUAUUUGCGCAAUUGAGAUAAGCAUUGCAGCAUGGUCGUUAUGCGAGCCAUUCCAAAACUCUACCCUUAUCUCUGGAAAGAGUGAAAUCUAAUCUUGAUUCGAGAAUGCUCUAUCCAGUCUAGAUUGUACAAACCUAUCCCCUGCCUGCUUAUUAUUCCAUGUAAAUUCCCCCUAUUGAGGGGACCUCGAUUAACUCUGCUAGGUCGGUAGCUUCAAUGAAUUCAGAAGGCUCUCCAUGAACAUAAACCCCAGCCCCUGGUCCUCUCCUUUCCUCUGGAGUUCUUAUUUCAUUGAAAUCACCCAGCACUAACCUCUGGAGUUCUCCUUUCCUCUGGAGAUGAUAUUAGGUUGGAUGUUCUUAACUGUGUUCCACAACGGUCUCCUAGCUUCCCUUGUGUUGUUUGCAUAUACUACGUAGAUAAAAAACACCAAUCCACCCUCGUUGUAUACCUUAGCAUGAAGUAUUUGCCUAUCCAACAAGAUUGGAACCACCUUCCAAUGGUCUUUUUUCCAUAAAAUCAAGAUUGAGUCUGAAUAUUCUUGGUCAUGUGGGAUGUUGUUUGAAAUUACCUCCCACUCCUCCGAAAAAUUGUCUCUUACUGUUUGGAAUUGUUUGGUUUUAACUCUAGUCUCUAAUAGCGCUACUAUGUCUAAGUUCUUUUUAAGCAUCACAUUUUUUACUUCAUUCUGGAUUAGAGGGGAGUUAACCCUCUAACAUUCCAGGUCAUUAGCGCCAUUGUUUGGGACUAAUGACCUAGCGGUGAUGGGAUGGCUUAGUCUAGUUAAUUGCCUGGGUGGCCUUUGCCACCUCUGCAAUUGAGGAAGAUUUUUUGCUCGAUGAAGCAUUCGAAGAGGUGGGUUAGACACUAAGACAUUACAUUACAACACCUAAGGCAUUACAAUCAUGUUUAUAUUUCUUUGAUGGACAAGAUCCUAUCAAAGAAACCCCCGUUUGUUGAUAUCAAACGUCUACCAAAGUAUCCCAUCAAGAGGAAGCCUUCUUUGAGCAAUGUUGGUUCGUCAUCUUCUAGAACCAAAAAAAUCAUAUCGUACGGGAAAAUUAAAGUUGAGUCUUUUAGGUUUUGAAGAGGGUCAAACAUUUGAAGAUAGAGUGAGGUCAAGAAAGACCGAGGAAAAUCGAUAAAGGAUCGUUGCUGAACAUUAUAAAGUUCAAGAUAAAACAAAAUUGUCGUUGAUUGCGGUGCCAAGUUUUUCAUCACUAGUGGUGUUGCGUUCAAUUUAACCAGAAACAUGGAAUUGCAGGAAAUUUAUCAAUCUUUUAGACAAUCUGAAUUUUUGACUACAUUAAAUGACAUUAAGGUUUUAGCAAAAGUUAUUAGACGUUACGGUCUGAGCUACAUUAUACCCUCGCCUUAUUUUCGGAUCUCUUUUGGAGAAAAAAGUUCAGAAUAUUUACAACCUACGGAAGAAACAUGAGGUUCAAUUUGCUAAAUAUGGAUGCAUAUUGAUGAGAGACGAAGAUUGGAGAGUUUAUUGCUAAGGGUCUGUCUAAGGUGAUUGAGACAAUCAGUAAGAAUAAUGUAGUUUAACUGUGCACCGACAAUGCAUCAAAUUAAGUUAGUGCCAAACUCUCUGUGCCGCAUACGUACUGGAUCUCGUACUUGAAGAUAUUGGAAAGUAAAAUUCAUUUCAAUUCUAAAUGAGAUCAAUAUAUUGAACCUAAAGAAGGGGUGCAUCAUGCAGCAGAUUAUAGUACUCAUCUCAUUGCUAAUGAUGAGUUUAAUGAAGAGUGAGAAGGAUCCACUGAUCUGGCUCUUAAAUGGCUUGACCCGAGUCAGGUCAUUCCCACCUCUCAUUAAGAGGAUAUGACCAAAUUGAAUGGUAGGCUUUGAACACGGUAAGUUUACUGUGUUCAACACAGUAAGAUUGGCUCACUGGUCUCAGUAACUAUUGAGCUUGCUGAGCUUCAAGGAUCGAAUCUCACUGUGUACAUUUCCAUCUAGAUUUGCCCGAUGAUAUAUUAUGCGACUCUGGUAUAUCAUCCGGAGGUUUGACAGCUCUACAUCUGUAGAGAGGUACCCUCCGUUAUCAAAAAAAGAAAGAAUAGUAGACUUUGAUGAAGUUCGAUCUAUAUCUAUAUUCAAAAUCAUCUGAUUACAAGGUUUAGGUUGCAUCAUAGCGCAUAGCGUCGACAACCAACGCUAUGGGGAGAUAGCGUGCUAUAGCCCCAAGUGUAAUUUAAAAAAAAAAUUCAGAUAAAUUUUAGUGACCAAAAUAAAAAGUAAAGUCAGACCUUGUUUAAAAAAAAAUUAAAAAUCAAGAUGAGCAUCUGAGCCUAUUUAAAAAUUCAGAUCCUUUUUUUUAAUCAGAUUUGAACAUGAUUUUAAAAAUUAGAAUUAUGAUUCUAAGAAAAUAAAAAUAAAAAAUAAAGAUCAGAAUUCAAUUUUUUUAAAUAAUAAAUUAAUUAAACGGACCAGCGACGAUCACCGGUUUAAAAUGACCAACAGCGUUCAAUUGACCUCGCCGAAUUAGAAUUGCCCAAUGAGGGUUGCUAAGAUGCCACUUAUCAAUGUAGUUCCUUGUUAUUUGUUCCAGUUCUCUGUAGUUCUUGAACUCCUUGUUAUUUGCUUUGAAAUUUGCUAUCCUCCAUCCUCUGUUUGAGUGGUGGAUGUUCUUUGCUGCUACUUGUGGGUGUUUAAAUUUUUUCUAAAAAUGUUGUUGCUUCUACACUAAAAUCCUUGUUGCACUAAUUCCCUUUGUUUGUUGAGAUCCACAUUUUAGCAGAAGUGCCUCCAGACUGUUCCUUCAUUCCUAUUCUCCUUUUCCGACCACCUUCUAGAUAUUUUUAAGGAAUAUUAUUGCCAACUUAACUCUCCAGAAGUCCACUCCUUGUCCAGGUCAUUAUCCACAUUCUCAGAUAUCAACCUAGUGUCCAGUUGGAAUGCCUAUCUUUCUCGUCUUUAAACUAGCCUAUAGCAAGUUUCUCUUCUUUUUCCUCUUGUUUCUCGUAUUUUUCACCAGGAAAACCUUCCUAUUGCAGAAUAACUCCACUUGUAGGAUUACUAAGGGUGUGUAGUUGUCUAAGAAAGAGAGAAUAUACCUCCGAAGAACUUGGUUGGAGUUAACUAUCCUUGGUGGACUCCGACGAGAGAUACCACUUUGGAGGUGACCUUGGGUGGGGCUGGUGGUGUAACAUGAGAUUAUCUAUAAUCGGACAUUUCUGUCGUGUAGUGUGACUGCCCAGUAUUCUUCUUCUUAUUGCACUAUUCUAUUUUUUCUAUUUAUCUGAAUAUAAUUCUUUAAUCAAACAAAUAAGUAUGACUAUUUACUAGUCACUGUUAAUAAAAAUAAUGAUAUUUAACGGAUUUCUUGCUCUACAUUCGAAGAUUAACUACCACACACAUCCGGUUAGACUUCCCUUGUUGGAAUCCACUAAAACCGAGCUGGGGUUAGCAUCUGCAAUUGAGGAGACACAAUUGCAGAGAGAUAUGGCACUGCUAACAACUCAAGUAGUAGUGAAUUGAGUGGAUUGGUUUUUCUGACAAAAAGAUACGAUGUUAAAUAGCCUCACCUGGGUUUUUUUCACCUUCCCACUAUUAAAGAUCAUCACAAUAGAUGAUUAUCAACAUAUAUUGGACAAACAUGGAAUAUCUCUUCCCUAUCAACAGAUGAUCGUAGAUAGAGAUAAACAACUUCAUAGUUAAGGAAUGUAACAUAAUGUAACAAGAUGGAAGGAACCAAAGGUCUUCCACAGAAUGUAACUAUCUAUAAACAUAAGGGAAUGAGAGAAAAAAAUAGUAAUCAGUUUUACCACCAUAUAUCAUCACUAUCAUUCAUAUCUUGGUGCGGACUUAGGUACGAGGACAUAUCCUUGAAGAUAAUGGGAAUGAGAAACUCGAACGAUAAUUAGAUUAACAAAAAAGAAGACAUUUUUUUCACUAUUUUAGAGAAUAUCUAUGAAAAUGUCCAUUAAAAUUUCAAAAUAAAUGUGGAAAAAUGAAAUGACAAUAAAUAAAUAAAAGUUACCUUUUUAAUUUUAAUGUUUCCAUAAAAUAUCAACAAAUGAUGGUUGAACAAAAUUUGAUCUGUACAUGACAGAAGGAAGUUUAUCAAGAAAAAAUUAAAAAAGAAACACUGAAACACCAAAUCCUAAAUGAAUAAAAUAGGAAAAUCUCCAUCAAAUCUCUUUCUUUAAGUAAAUAUAUAUCUAUUUCUUGAAUAUAUAAAUUGAUAUUAUUAUAACUAUUUAGAUCUCUUCUCUCCUGAAAAUCCAGAGGUAAUUCCAGAUCUACGUCUAACCCCAACUCCCAAACUCUAACAUUUGAAAAAGGCAUCGAUUAGAAAAAUAAUUAAAAGAGGGGAAGAUCAGUGUCGGUGGAAAAUGCAGCAGCGGUAAUAAAAUUAAAUACAGAGACACGAUAUGGGAAAGACGAAUAUCGGUAAUAAAAUUAAGAACAGAUCUGAUUUAACCUUUGAAUUUAUGGCAUCGGUGGUGUAUCGACGAAUUUGAGAUCUGCAACACCCUCCUCCUCUGGUUGAGUUGUGCAUUUUCCUGAGUGAACUUGUGAAGAGUGAAAAGUGGGUUUUAUCAUAUAUUAGGGUUUUGAGACGUACAGGUUGGAUGAUAAUAAUAAACUUUUGGUGUUGGGACGGACGGGUUUUAUUAUAAGAUAAAUCCACUGGGCUUGGGCUUGGGCGUUCGUGAGUUUGGAAAUUUGAACUAUUG
rnacentral:lncRNA from 1 species